rnacentral:lncRNA from 1 species
CACCCAACAACUUCACAUUCAAAAUUCAAGAGACAUGUUGCACAACACACUUAAUGCAACACAACUCAAUACAACACAUCUGGUUAUCCAUUAGGAUAAUCAAGCACAUAUGAUAUAUGACUCAACCAGGAAAGCCUCAAACCUGUCACAUAUGUGUCAAUCAUUCAUCACACACACAUGGGCGCACAUCUCCACCAUGUUUCACAACCCUAAGCACAACAAGCUUCAACUUGGAGGGGCACAUUACUAUAAACCAUAAACUCAUGUAGCAGGCCAUAGAUACUAUAUUUAGUAGCAUAGAAAUUCACUAACAUGGUCCUCAACCCUAAACCCUAAACUCUAAAACAAAAAUCCUAAACACUAAACACGGCAAGCUGCUAACUAGGACAAAAUUACUAUAAAAACAUUGCAUAGAAAUAUGUAUCAAUCAUCUUAAGAAACUUUCAAUUCAAAAUGCAACCUAGCAUUGGCAUAUCACAGUUGGUCAGUGGAAUAUCAUAACAACAUACUUACACCCAGAAUAGAAACUGAUUACAAAGGGAGAUUACCAUUGAUUUUGAUGCUCGUUUCUUUAGUAGAGUACACUUGUGACUUUAUCACACAUUCUUUAGAAGGAGCUACACUUUGGUUAAUUAUCAGUUGCACAACAUGUGGAUUCAUGUCUUGGUCCCAAUAAUGUUGAUGUGAUGAGGAGGUCAGAUCUCUCCUUGAGGUGAAACCCUCCUUAGAGAAGCUGAUGUGAAAAAUUAUUUCAUUUUUCACUUACUGUAUGGAUAUAUAAGGCAUGUUUAUUCUAGUACUAUAGUAGUCAUACUUAUUACAGUUUUUAUGUUUGUGAUAGAUGAUCUCUAGCUCUUGAGUGUGAUGAUUCCAUUCUGAAUCAUAUACGUCAUGUUCCACGGUAGAAAGGGGUUCUGAAGUGUCCAGUAAGCCCAUCCAAAGGUAGCAUUUCCAUAAACAUCUUGCUGCACUUUCGCAAACCUCUGGUAGUCAGUCUUAUUAGCACCUUGCACACCCCACGCUGCCGACCAUUCUCCUAUACAUUAUAUAUACAACAUAGCAGUAUUUAUUUGCACAAUUUAGAAAUGUUUUUUUUUUCUGAAAGGAAUGACUGCCAGAUUGCUUACCAACAAACGUGAGAGGGCGCCCAUUCUGAUUUGUGAUGGCUUUGAGGUCAGAAGAGCGGUUGUUCCUCACAAAGUUGAUGUUCUGCUCUACAGUGAGGUUGUCGAACUUCUUGUCGAACAAGUUGUAGUAAUGUACGUCGAGGACGGCGCCAUCGAAGCUGCCCACAAACUGAAGGAUCUCUGUCUGGUUUGCUAUGUUUAACCUGUUAGACAUGAUCACAUAGGAUGCUGGCGUGUACCGACGCACUGCAUUGUAGCCGUCCUGGUAGUAUUUCAUCAGUACAGACAGAUUUGCUCCCGGUGCCAACGGCUCAUUGAGCAGCUCGAUGGCCAAGAAGGCUGUGUUGUUUGCGUACCUGAUGAUAUAUAGAGCAGAUCGAGCAGCUCGUUAGUACAUUUUUGGUUCAAUCGAUCAAUAAGACUGCAGAAAACUACUAGAUUGUUAAUGAAUUUUUGACCUUUUUGCAAGGAAGUCGAUGACUUGCACGGUUUGGGUGAUGUUUGCAUCGGUAUUGCCCCACUCCUGUGCUGUGACCCGUCUCUGGUUGCGCUGUGCUCAUAUGGGUUCUGUGACCCCGGCGCAUCAUGCAAUGUGACAAUGACACUAAUGUUGUAUUUCCUAUGAACACAAAUUACAAUCAGUCUAUGUCAUUCCUUGAUGGACAUGAAAUUGCAAAUGAAAUAGGUCAGACAAUGCUUGUUGUUGAAUGCAGAUUCGGAGACACACUUACUGUCCCCAGCUGAAUGCCUUGUCCAAGAAUUGAAGAGAGCCUCCAACGAAAGGAGGAGGGUUGUCGCCACUGGCAAUCCACCAUCCAACCGGGACUCUCACUGCAUUUAGUCCACUUGACGCCAUGAAAUUGAAGUCCCUCUUAGAUAUGAAUAUGUUCCGGUGGUUCUAAUAAGAAAACAAACAACAUUCAUGUCCGAACUACAAGCAACGUGAUUCGUAACUAUUGUUAAACAUGUCUGAAUAAAGUCUGCUUAUCUUAAUUUCUCAAGAAAAAAACUAUUAUUGUUAAACAUAUCUUUUCUGCCAAUUAAUGAGUGAAGGAGAAAGGAUUAUUGCUAGUGGAAACAUUAUUAGUGGAUCCAUGAAGCCCGUGCAGUCCACAUACGUUGAUUAUUAUGAAAUAAAUAGUACUAUAUAAGUAUGUGAAUGUUUCUUCGCAGGAUUCUUUCAUGCUUUCCAGUCAUUCAAACAUCCUAACAACAGAGUCCUGUUUAUUCACCGGUUUACUGGUCAAUUUGGAAAGUAUCACCAACUCGAAAUGGAACAGGUAAAGACUCAUUGAGACCAAUCAUGCAUCCUUAUAUGAUGUGUUCCAUCACUCUGUUUCCAAUACGGCGUGCCGUUGUGCCUGUAUCAUCCAUGGCUGUUAUGAGUUCUUAUAUUGGUGUGUUCCAUCAUUAUGUUAGGUUUCACCUAUUAGAACCCAUUUAUUUAGUAGGGAUAUGUUAUGGAUUCUUCUAUAUGAUGUGUUCCAUCAUUCUGUUAGGUUUCACCUGUUACCACCCAUUUAGUAGAGAUCAGUUAUUUUAGCAACACAUGUAAAGAACUUAUGUUCAUCAUCAGACUAAUUAAUGAAGUGGCCUCAGAAAACAAUGUGUCUGUAUAUAUAUCUUACCAUGAGCACCUGUGUUGCAUUUGCUAUGCCAUAGCCAUUGCAUAACUGAUACUCCCCUUGUAAGCCACCAACAUUUUUUGUUACAAAAACUGAGGGGUCAUUGUCACUCCAGUUUGUAUUCUGGCCGUAGUCCGCUGUCACUGAUGCCAUUGUCUUCACCUAACAGCAUCAGAAUAGAGGAAAAAUUCUUGUAAAGCACUAACAUAUGUUUGAAAACUAAUAAUCACAGGUAUAUAUAGUAUAUACAAUACUAUAUGUACUUAGUUUCUUUUAAUAGAAUAUUAUGUAUAAUUAAAAAGAUCUAGUUAUGAAUUAAUGGAAUCCAAUCACCCAAGAUAAUAAUAUAACCAUUGGAUUUAUUUAGUUUUCUAGCAAUAAUAAUAAGCCCCUAAAUUUGCAAAGAAAAUACGCAUUUAUUUUUUUCUGCCAUUAUAAAAGACAAUAAAAAAAAUACUUUGCAACCAAAUUACCUACAUAUGCUAUUGUGAAACAUAAUAAAUAACAAUUUACUAAUUUUCAUCCUUCCCCAAAUAGGUAGUAUAUAUGAUGAGUUAGAAGUACCUGCAAGAAGAAGCCAUUUGGUGCCCUGAUACGCACUCGGCUCUUGUCGCUGUCCCUGCACACGAGCUGGAACGUCUCGGAUUGCCCAGGCGUGGUGGCCGUCGCCACAAGGGCGCCGGUAUUGUUGACGCCCCAAAACUGCCUGCCAUUUACCCUCAAGUUGAAGGUCGUCUCGUUGAUCCUCCACAGCUGCAUGCAUGGAUAAUGAAACUACGACUAGUUGAGAGCAACUUUGGUUAUAUAUAUAUCUAGUACUCCGGAAGUAGGGGAAAAAAAGGUACACGGUUGGGCAAGAUUUUGAUCGACCCUGAAGGUCUCCCAGGCGGACGCUCAUCCGGUCAGCGAGGAUGGCAGCGCCCCCUCCCUUGUCAGCAAUCAGGUACCUUUUCUGGGUGACCGACAUGAAGUGGAGUUGGGUUCCAUCCUGCAUAUAUAUAAAUGCGCACACAGGUUCCACGAAAACUUCACAAAUAUGACUUCAACAUAUCUCGAGCGACAUGUACACAGUGCUUGCCUACAAGUUGCUUAUAUACAUACCAUGGUGCCAUUGUUCGGAAUGCCAUAGAAGAGGGAUGGCUUUAUCCAGCCCUCCGUCACCAGCCAGCCGCCGAGGUUCAUCGCCCGAACAGGCAGCUUCGGUGCUGCGGCCGCGACGACGUGCAGAGGAGAACGAUAAGCGCGAUGCUGCCCAUGGUCGUCGGUUAUUAAGGAUGCCUAGCUAGCAGCUCGCUGGUCGACCAGCCAGCUUAGCUCCGAUAUAUAUGUAUAUAUACAUACACAUGUGCUCGUGAUCAAGAAGCUAUACCAUGCUCUUGCUUUGCUGUGCAAGCGAUCGACGCUGUCGCUUCUUCUUUUUGUCUACGCACGGUUCCAUGUUGCGUAGACACAAUCAAGUUCCGUCCGGUCAUUACUGGAAUGCCCCUCUUUGCCGACUGCCAAAAGCAGUCGGCAAAGGCCCUAAAACAGGUGGUAAAGGCUUUGCCGACUACUUUCCAUGUGGCAGUCCGCAAAGAACACAUCGCAAAGACUUUAUCGGCAAAGAAAUCUUUGUCGCCUGCCAAGUGGAAAGCAGUUGGCAAACCCUUUGUCACCUGUCAACAUGGCAGUCGGCAAAGGAGACGUACACCGUUGUGAAAGACGGAGCGCGUUCUGUUUGCCGACUGCCACGUGGCUGUCGACAAAGGUUUUUUUUAAUUUUUUUUUAACAAAAUUUCUUUGCCAACUGUCUUGAUUGGCAGGUGGCAAAAGCUGUUUUAUUUUUUUUCAGAGCAGAAACUCUUUGCCGACUGCCUUUAUUGGCAGGUGGCAAAGGAUUCUUUGCCGACUGUCUUUAUUGGCAGGUGGCAAAGGAUUCUUUGUCGACUACCUUUACUGGCAUGUGGCAAAGCUGUCAUGGUUUAUGAGAUUCCAGCUUUGCCACCUGCCACGUGGAAAGCAGUGGUAAAGCUGGAAUAAGUAAAAUUUUGAUCUAUUCUUUUUUUGUUUUGCAUCACAGCAACCAAAUCACAUAUAUAAUUAUAUAUCUGGAAUUCACAUAUAUCACACAUAUCCACAUAUAUAUAUGGCACAAAUCCACAUAUAUAGCACACAUAAACCAUAACAAAGGAGUCCAACAAGUCCAUCAUCUAACAAAUCGUACUAAUCGAGCAUCCAACAACAAACAUCCAACACGGUGUGCAAAACCAACAUCAAACGUCAUGCAAAGUAGAAGAACCAUAUAGCCAGUCACGCGUCCUACGACCCGUCGCCACCGUGGUGUGAAGAGCUCCCAGCUGGCCACGAAGGCCAUGAGGACGGUCCAACCUGCGGCGCGCUGCUGUACACCCACCUGGAUCCGAUCUGCUGGGCAGGCGGAGGGUCGCUAGCCUACCCAGAGGCCCCCUCCUGUGUAGGCCUAGGAGGAACGCCACCUGGUCCCACCUGGCCUGGAGAAAGGCCAUGUGGAGUCGGGUUUGAACCCACCGACAGUGGCUACACAGAGGAGAAGCGAUCUCAUUAGUACCUACGGGAUGGCCGUACAAGCGAAAACAAUAGACAGACUGCUAGAAACUCACCGGAGUCCCUAAAGGGCUAGGAACAUGGGGUGGAGCGAGAAGAGGGGGUGGAGCGAAGAUCACGGGAGGCAACGGAGGACAUCUGAAACCAGGGAUCUCCAGGCCCAGAAAGAAGCUGGCAAACUCUUUCAACUGACGUACCGAGUGCUCCUGGUUAGCCUCCAACUGCAGCGGAUGGGCCUCCUGCUGGGCUGCCAGCUGCUACCGAUGGGCCUCCUCUUGGGCCACUUGUUGGGCCCGCAACUCGGCCAGCUGGGACUGCAAUAUUACACGCGUGAUGUUUAAACAAUGCAUAAGGAAAGCUACAUAUGUAAAACCAAUGAACGACGAAUAGUUACCUGAACCGCCGCCAUCAUCUGCGUGCUCUCACCUCCUCCUCUCUAAUACGCGCUUUUCCUUCACCAUGGAAGAUCCACCUCUUGUAGUUUUCCACAAAUCCGUACUUGAAAAGAUCUUUGUAUACCGCCCUAUAUACUUUUCUUUUUUGGUUCUUACACUCCCUGCAGGGACACAGCGUCCGAUCCGACCCUUAAGCAGCCGGGCCAAAUGCUUGCUCUAGGAAAUUAUUGGUCCCCCUAAUCCAUUCAUCGCUCUUCCUCUUAGUUGUCCAGCCCGUGUACAUCCACUCACGGUCAACCAUCCUCUGUCAUGCGCCAAUAUAAGCGAGCAAUAAAACCAACAUUUGCAUCUACAAUGCGUUCCUACCAUCUAAUAGGUGAAGAAUAGGUCCUAAUCCCACCCGAGGAUGCGUAGAUGAGGUUAGCUUCCAUGCUCCGCUCCCGUCCGAGACGAAAUUUCGGCAGCACCUCCCCGUUGUUCUCCCGAUACACGUCCCGGCGGAGAGAGUGUGUAUACGGAGAACAACGGAGAGGUGCGGCCGAAACUCCGACUCGAACGGGAGCGGAACAUGAAAGCUAACCCAUCUACGCAUCCGCGGGCUGUCCAGAAAAUAUGGACAAUCCGAAAGAGAUAGUGUCGCAGAUAUGCACUGAUCAGCAUACCAACGACCGUGUAUCCCUUUCGAACGGGAGAUGCCUAACUAGGGUACGCAAUCUAAAACAACUAUAAGGAUGAGAGGUGAAUUAUACCUAGGGUAGCAGCACAAAGGCGAGUAACGGGGCGGUGGAGAGUCGACGCGGUGCAGGAAGACCCGCAGCGCCCACAAAGACGAUCGGAGUCACCAAGUACCUCCCACAGGUGGUCCUAAAAAAAGGAAAAAAGGUUAGUAUCCACACAAAAUUUCGGCAGCACCUCCCCGUAUAUGGCACGAUGGCCGACAGCACAUAUAUGGCACGACGGCACACAUCCAAGCAAAUUUUAAAUUAAAGAAAGGCGCAUAUAUAGAAACUAUCAUACAAGAUACUUUCAUAAAGAUAUAUAGAUAAACCUUGCUAAAAGAAUUUAUCAGAACUAUAUCUUUCCCCUAAGUUCAGGGUCUCCAAAAUUACAUUCCUGUUUACCAUAAUGGAAGAGGAUGUUUUAUGUCACAUUAUGCAGGAGCAUAGUAAACAUGUUUACUCUCCCAAAUCAGUACAGUGUCCCAUUAUUAAGAUGACAAAUCCAAUGAACUUCUUGUUGAAGCCAUGAAUUUUGCACACCUACAGUUUUCGGCAUCAAAGAUUCAAAUUGGUCAGUGAUGGGCAUUUAUAUGCUUGUUAGCCAUUCCUUUGCACAUUAGUUAGUGUAGCUGAGAGUUUAAGAUGAAAGAAUUUCCAUGACACCCAGAAGCAAGGGCACAUGCUCCCUAUCCAGAAAGGAAAUGUAUCCAGGAAAAGAACCACCUCAUCUAUUAUCUAUACUAUAAUAUACGUUGGAUCAUAGUUCAUCCACAUAAACUCAACAGUUUAAUCGCAUGAUUUGGCCAAGAUGGCCAUAUCAAAAACUUAUUUCAACCAGUGUUGUCGAGAAAAGAUUUUUUUUUUACUAGACAGCACACUAAUAUAUUUCCCAAACCUAGAAAGUGUGUCAAAUUCAGAGUUAGGAUCAAAUUGUUCUUCUAACCAAAAAAAUAAAUGCGGUAGCCCUCCAUGAUUGACCGCAAAUAAUUGCGCUCUAUCUUUUCCCAGAAUAGUGCGAUACAAUCGCCGGCUUCUGAAGCAAAAGGCGCCUAACUAAUUAGCACAAAAGACGAUUUGUGGAGGAAACAAAGACUGACCGGCGAUGCGUGCUGCUCUUCCUUCCCCCUGCUGCAGGCUCUACUACCGCUGCGCGCACAAGGACCAGGGAUGCAACGCGACCCGACGGGUGCAGCAGACGCAGAACCAGCCCGCGGCGUACGAGAUCGCCGGCGGCGUGCGAGACCGCUGCGGGGCCGAGGGCCGAGGGCGUCGCCCCGUUGCCUAACACUGUCGCUGUGGUGCCGUCCCAGAGCUUCCCUGCGCCGUCGUCGUCAUCCUCCAACCAUUGCUCGGGGACGUCGCAGUACUCAAACUCAAGCACCGGGUGUUGGCCGCCGGUGCCGGAGAAGAAGGCUGGGGACUGAGGGGUGGAUGAGAAAAAGCUGCGGUCGUGCGGGGUGAGCGGUGGCGGCGCGUGGGGCAGGGGAGGGGCGGGCCAGCGGCGGCGGAUCUGGUCGGCGGCGGUGGCGCAAGGCGUCCAGCGUCGGCGGGUUCGGCGCGUGUCUGCGCGUGUGUGCGGGCGGCGGCGGGUUAAUGGUUGGACUUGGACGCGCGGGGGCUCGGGGGAUAAGGUCGAUUUAUUUUUUUCUAGAAAACAUCCUUUGCCGACUGCUCCAUCGACAGGCAGUCGGCAAAGGCCCGACUAAUAUUUUAAUAUAAUCUUUUCCGACUGCCGUAGACUAAGGCAGUCGGCAAAGAUUUUAUGUAUUUUUCCUUUUUGUUACAGCCGCAACUUGCUUUAAAUUUUUUGAAACUUUUUAACAUAGACUUUACAUAUGAUUUUAUAAUACCUCGACAAAUUUCGUAAUUCUGUGAUAUUUUUUGUUAUAUUUCGUUAAUUAAUUUCUUUUAAUUGAAUUUUUCGCCGCGUAAUCCAACUUUAAACUGUAGGUGCAUGAAAUAAUGAAACUUAGACAUUAGAAAAAUGAUAUUCAUGUUGUAGAGUUUAUUUUGAGGCCGUGCCCAGAAACUCAUCUAAAAUUUUGAAGUCCUUGUCGACGGAACAUGACCAUUGAGGUGUGGUAUAAGUGUUUUUUAAUUAUAUUAAAUUCAAAUGAAGUCGAAAAAUUACGAAACUUGUUGAGGUGUCAUGUUAUCACAUAUAUAGCCAUUGAUAAAAAUUAAAAAUUUAAAAAGUUUGGACAAAGUUACGACGACAGAUGUAUAAAACUCACACAUCUCCUCAUGUGUUCACAAGUGAUCACAUGUGGAGAUGUGUGGGUUUUGGAUAUUCGAUGUCGUAACUUAAUUUAAACUUUCUCAAAAAGUUUUUAUAGCCUCCACAUGUGAUAAUAUAACACCUCGACAAAUUUCGUAAUUUUGUGAUAUUUUUUGCUAUAUUUCAUUAAUUAAUUUCUUUUCAUUAAAUUUUCCGCCGCAUAAUCUAACUUUGAACUGUGCAUGAAAUAAUAAAACUUAGGCAUUAGAAAAAUAAUAUUCAUGUUGGAGAAUUUAUUUGGAGGCCUUUUUUAGAAACUCACCCAAAAUUUUGAAGUUCUUGUCCACGGAACAUGACCAUCGAGGUGUGGUAUAAGUGUUUUUUAAUUAUGUUAAAUUCAAAUGAAGUCGGAAAAUUAUGAAAUUUGUUGAGGUGUCAUGUUAUCAUAUAUGUAGCCUAUGAUAAAAAAUUUAAAAAGUUUGGACAAAGUUACGACGACAGAUGUAUAAAACCCUUGCAUCUCCACAUGUGUUCCCAUGUGAUCACAUAUGGAGAUGUGUGGAUUUUAGAUAUUCGACGUCGUAACAUGCUCCAAACUUUCUCAAAAUUUUUUGUUAGCCUCCACAUGUGAUAACAUGACACCUCGACAAAUUUUGUAAUUUUAUGAUAUUUUUUGCUAUAUUUUGUUAAUUAAUUUCUUUUAAUCGAAUUUUGCGCCACAUAAUCCAACUUUGAACUGCAGGUGCAUGAAAUAAUGAAACUUAGGCAUUAUAAAAAUGAUAUUUAUGUUGGAGAGUUUAUUUUGAGGCCGUGUCUAGAAAUUCACCCAAAAUUUUUAAGUCCUUAUCCACGGAACAUGACCAUCGAGGUGUGGUAUAAGUGCUUUUUAAUUAUAUAAAAUUCAAACGAAGUCCAAAAAUUAUGAAACCUGUUGAGGUGUCAUAUUAUCACAUAUGCAGCCUAUGACGAAAAAUUUAAAAAGUUUAGACAAAGUUACAACGUCAGAUGUAUAAAACCCACACAUGUGCGCAUAUGUUCACAUGUGAUCACAUAUGGAGAUCUCUCGGUUUUAGAUAUUCGAUGUCGUAACAUGCUCCAAAUUUUCUCAAUUUUUUUUUAUAACCUCCACAUGUGAUAACAUGACAUCUCGACAAAAUUUGUAAUUUUGAGGAAUUUUUUGCUAUAUUUCGUUAAUUAAUUUCUUUUAAUUAAAUUUUUCGCCGCAUAAUAAAACUUUGAACUGCAGGUGUAUGAAAUAAUGAAACUUAGGCAUUAGAAAAAUAAUAUUAAUGUUAGAGAGUCUAUUUUGAGGUCGUGUUCAGAAACUCACCCAAAAUUUUGAAGUCCUUGUCCACGGAACAUGACCAUCUAGGUGUGGUAUAAAUGCUUUUUAAUUAUAUAAAAUUUAAACGAAGUCGGAAAAUUACGAAACUUGUUGAGGUGUCAUUUUAUCACAUGUGGAACCUAUGAUAAAUUUUUUUAAAAAUUUAGAGAAAGUUGUGAUGUCAGAUGUAUAAAACCUACACAUCUCCACAUGUGUUCACAUGUGAUCACAUGUGGAGGUAUGUGGGUUUUGGAUAUUCGACAUCGCAACUUGCUCCAAACUUCCUUAAACUUUUAUCAUAGGCUUCACAUGUGAUAACAUGACACCUCGUUAAGUUUCGUAAUUUUCCAACUUUGUUUGAACUUUAUAUAAUUAAAAAGCACAUCUACCACACUUGGAUGGUCAUGUUCCGUGGACAAGGACGUCAAAAUUUUGGAUGAGUUUCUGGACACGACCUUAAAAUAGACUCUAAAAACAUGAAUAUCAUUUUUUGAACGACUAAGUUUCAUUAUUUGAUGCACCUGCAGUUCAAAUUAGGAUUCUGCGGUGGAAAAUACAAUUAAAAAAAUUAAUUAACGAAAUAUAGCAAAAAGGGUCACAAAAUCACGAAAGUUUUUAAGGUUCACUCUUAUUGCAUGUGGAGGCUAUGAAAAAAGUUUGAGGAAGUUUGGAGCAAGUGACGACGACGAAUGUCCAAAACCUAAAUUCAAAUUUCAAAAAUAAAAAUUUUCAUCUUUACCAACUGUUUGACAGCCUGUGAGGUGGCAAAGGGGACGGCGAUAGGCGCUGUUUAGCCCAAGCCACCUUUGCCACCAGCUUUUCUUUAACACCUGCCAGGCAGUCGGCAAAGGACGUCUUUGCUGACUGCUUAGAGUGGCCGACAGCUCAGGACAUUUGGGCAGUCGGCAAAGAUUAUGUUUGCCGACUGCCCUACCUUUGGCAGGUGGUAAAGGAUUCUAGUAGUCGGCAAAGCCCAGUUUUCAUGCAUAUCACACACAUUUCUUCUGGAUAGCCGGACGUAUGGACUUGCAUGUCGACGAUUCCAUGCAUGCCAAAAGGAGGUCAAAUACUCAAAUGUCUUAAGAUCCACAUCGCCAGAACACAGUCAUAAUCUUUUGUUCCAAAUAUAAAAACUCACGCGUGUCAACAGACGUGUUCUCGAAAACAAAAAUUAUAGAAAGUCUGACUUUGUUCUUGGUCUCACUUAUCUAACUUUUGUCAAAUUUACAAAGAAAUGUAUCUACAACAAGUUAAUAUGGAUCUGAUUGGUUACCUGCACAACUCCUUAUCCAGGUAAUGCGAUCUAGGAUUGACGGGUUCCUUAUAGAAGGCCUUAUGCAGGCUAGGACUUUUCUCAAAUCAGUCUAAAUCUGCAUUCACUAUUCGCUCAAAAGUUUUUAGACCAAAGGCUUUUUGACCUAGCUUAUAUUGAAAGCUUAAAAAGAGGUAGUGCUGAGGUUGCCAACUUACAAAUCAUUACAAAAUAUCAACCCAAACACAAAACCCUCCAGCCUCACGAAAGAAACCACACCAACACUCAUACAAUCAUCACACCUAAGGAUAAGACAAGAUCCUAGCCUAAGCAAAAGUGAAAAAAAACAUGGACCAAGCUGGCAAAGAAGAAUAGGAGCAUGAAGAAAACUCCAUCCUUCUUUGCCGACUUGGUCCACUAUUUUAGAAAGCCGAUUGAUUGUAAGCCACUUGUUUGGGAGUUUUGGUCAUAAUGUUAGAAAAAAACUAGAUCGUUUCUAGUCUUCCACAAAGAUCGCCCACCACAACAAUCCAUUAUCCCCACUCCCCACGCUAGCUAAAAAGUUUUCCUAAAAACUGAGGAUGGAAGUGGAGGAGGUAGCCCACCCUAGGCUAUCUCUAACCCAACACCAUGUUACCACUGCAAUUGGACAUUGAAACAGGAGGCGGUUUACUAAUUUUUCCUAUCCACAGAACUUGCACACUUUAGACCCAUCUCAUUUUGUUCUCCUCAACUAUUGAGCCAUUUAAAUCCUAUUAUGCUAGGCCAUCCAAAGGAAGAUUUGAACUUUCAUAGGUAUCCAUCAUCAUCCUAAGAUCAAUGACUACUCCAAGAAUUAAUACCUAUACAUGCCCCUUGUUGUGAACUUCCCUAGGGUCACUAAUUUCCAAAUUAGUAUAUCCACCUCCUUUGUAAGUAUAACACACUCCAGCUUUGACAUCAACUCCCUCCACUCGGCCAUCUCUUUCCCCAAAGUUCCUUCUAUAACUAAGAUUCCAACUGCAACUUCCACCUCUCUCCAUUGAAAUAUCCUGAUCAUGGCAUAUUUUGAAAAGACUAGAAAAAGUAAUAAUCAAGGGACACUCCUCUAACCAAAUAUCUUUCCAAAAUCUAGUAUGUUUGCCACUACCCACUAUGUGCCCUUUCCCUCUCUCAUACCAUUCUCUAACAGAAUGUAACCCUUGCCAAAAUUAUGAACUUCAUCUGCUUUUGCUCUGACAGAAGCCUACUCCUUUAUAUUAAGGUAUUUCUUUCUCAGAGUUCCAUACACAGACUACCCACAUUUAUUGAUCUUCACAUGUGUUCAGUUCAUUGAUUCCAGUAAUGGGGAAUGACUCAUUGAUUGGUCGUUACUUAUUUCUUUUUUUCUCCAAGCAUUUUUAAUUGAUUGGUUUUGUUUCAUACUGCAACUGAUCAUCAUCAAAACAAAAUAGAUACUAAGAAAUCGAUAUGAAUGGGAUCAUGACUUCUUAUUACAUGAUACCUUGCCUUUGGUAUUGCAUCCAUUUCAGGCAUUCUUGAAAUUUUUCAGUAAAUAAAAUUUCCUCGCUAUACCUUUUUCUUAUCUAGCAAGUCGGGACCAAUCACGCUUAUAACAUUGAGUGGCCUUCUGAUCUUUAUGUUUUUCCUAUUGAUUGUCACUACUAAUGCCAUCAUUGUCUCAGUCUUGAUGUCACUGGACAAUGCCACAUGAUUCUUGGUUAUCUUCUCUGCUUGCUCGGUUGCAGUGUAUAUAUAUCGAAGCAGUAUUAGUUGCUAUAUUUGCCAUUUCUGCUGUUGUCAUCUCACCAGUUGUUGGAGUUAUGAUUGCUACCCGUAAAUCAUCUCUUUGCAUGCAUAAAAAUUUGAGUAUGUUUUAAAUGAUUUUCAGUCGUGGUUUAAUCUUUACAUGUGUACAACUUUGACAAGGCACAAUUAGCAAAAUACUUCAAAUUUGAUAGAAUUAACUUUGAACUUACUUGAUCAGUGUAGACUCCAUGAUGCUUUCUAUGAUAGAUUGAGCUUCUGGUUUUUCUUUUUUUUAGCAUAGAUUGAGCUUCUGGUAUGCAAUGGAUUGUUGCCUGCUUUGUGAAUAGAUGCAAUAUGCCUCUUUGUAAUGGACCUAUUAGGUAGCCAUGUUUACAGAGCUUUGUUUUUCCCAUAUGUCCUUUUCUACCAAUGGAUCCCUUUUCUAAAGUGCUCUUAUCAGUAGUUCUAACAUUAUUUGUUAGGGAGCUCACCCCACACUCCGGUCCGCCAGUUGAUUCCAUGGUUAUCAAGUGCUGAUUUUAAGUGGUCUCACAAUUAAGUUCUCAAAUCUCAAAUCCCUCAUUUUUUCUCUACAGCCUUUGCAGAUGGACUACUCAGUUGUAUAUCAAUUUUCAGUUUUAAUAGCUACUUGACUUCAGUUGUUGAUUAUAUUGUCAAUGUUCAUAUACGGAUGACAUAUUGUAGUUGUCAAAACAUAUUAAGGAAACAAUGAUAGAAGUAGAUGGCUUAGUUUUGAUGUGGUAAUUGUUUUCCUAUUUUGCUGCAAGUUGCCCUCUUGCUUGAUACUUUUAUCAAGGACAGAGCUUCAUUCUCAAGACAUGAUUGAAAAGCUUAAGAAAGCUCUAAAGCUUGGUAUGGAAAGUUUAUCCUGUCCUCUUGGGUUGCUAUUGGACAAUUUCUAAUUCAUGGACGAUUAAUAUGUUUUUGCUAUUGGAUUGAACUCUAAUUACCCAAAGAUGUUUCAGAUUACAUUUUGGAAUCUGAUUGUAGUGCUAGAUAGAGGUCAUAGACUAUUUUAAAAUACAAAAACUAAAUUGAUUUUUGUUAAGUCACCAGAUUAUGCUUUCCAUAUUUUUUUUGCAGCAGGUCUUCCACCAGAUCUUAUUCUAAAUUUCAAUCCUGAACCUGACCGGUUAUAUUGUUGGUAGUUCUUCAACUGGCAUGCUGUUCUGACAUGUUGGUUUUCUUUACUUCAGCUUUAAUUUCAAUUACUAAUAUUUGGUCUCUUAAAAUUUCAGCAUCAUGCAGUAAGAAAGUGGAAACAAAAAAGGAGUAGAUGAGUUGGUAGAACCAUUGAAAAUAGCACUAGAAAAAAGAAGUUGUCUAGGAAAUGAACCAAGUACUUGAUAAAUGAACCAAGUACUUAAUAUAUUGUGUAAUUGCAGCAAACAAGUUUUUAUUGUCUUUUGAGCUUGAGGACAAUGAUGGAUUUAGUCUAUGUGUAGCCAACUUAUCACUUUUGUUAGUCCAAAUGAAAAGAAGAAAACAAAGUUGAUUGGCAAACAUGAUGCCAAACAUGUGAAAAAAAUAUAUUUUCUUAUCAUAUUCAGAUCUUGUUUAUUAGUAAAUAAAUAUUAGUUAAUUAGCAAACAAGUAUUUUUUAUAAAUAUUUUAUUUAAUUUAUUCGUAGCGUAGACAGGCACCACGGCAGCGCGUGCCUUGUUUAGUUUCUAAAAAAUUUUGCAAAAUUUUUCAGAUUCUUCGUCACAUCGAAUCUUUAGACGCAUGCAUGGAGUAUUAAAUAUAGACGAAAAUAAAAACUAAUUGUAUAAGUUUGGUCGGAAUUGAUGAGAUGAAUCUUUUGAGCCUAGUUAGUCCAUGAUUAGAUAAUAUUUGUCACAAACAAACGAAAGUGCUACAGUAUCUAUUUUGCAAAAUUUUUUAUAACUAAACCAGGCCUAAGAGGAAAGGAGAAGACGCGAAGCAGAGGAAGGAAAGAAAAAGUAAACCAAGACCUGUCUAGCGUGUAGAACCGCCGCCACGCCUCGCCUCGCCUCGCCGUCCGAGAGAAGGGGAAAAAAAUGCUCGCCAGAACCCUCGUCGGCGGCGUCCGGACCCGCCUCGCGCCGUCUCUCGCGAGCCUUCUCCUCCGCCGCGGCUACGCGUCCCCCGCCUCCUCCGCCGCUGCGGCGGCUGACGACCUUGUCAUCGACGAGGACCCGCCGCGCGCCGCCUCGACGUCCGCCGCCGCCGCCGCCACCACCACCGUGGCAGCCACCGUGCCGACCGUCCUGCAGCCGCGCGUGCUCAUCUACGACGGCGUCUGCCACCUCUGCCACCGCGGUGAGUGGGACAGCGAUACCCUGCUCUGGCUGGGGUUUUCUGGGGGGAUCAUUUCGCUGGCUGGCUUCCCGAUUGGGCGAACGAUUGAUGGGCACUCGAUUGUUGGGUCCAGGGAGUUUUCGUGGUCGAGAAAUUGAUCUCGCCUUUGCAAUGCAGGGGUGAAGUGGGUGAUCAGGGCCGACAAGCACGCCAAGAUCAGGUUCUGCUGCGUGCAGUCCAAGGCUGCCGAGCCAUACCUCAGGCUGGUGGGCAUGGACAGGGAGGACGUGCUGCGGCGUGUUCUCUUUGUCGAGGGCCCUGAGGCCUACUACGAGGGCUCUACAGGUCAGUUACUACACUUAUGAUGGGAUCAAAAAAGUUUUUGUGUGCUAUGAACAGACUAACGUUGUGAUGCUGGGGUGGUGUGCAAUGCAUGAUAGCAAGAAUGCUAGUAGCAAGUUAGCAACUAUGAGCUAUUUGGACUAUAUUUCUUCUAUUUGACUUGAGUUGCAUGACACCAUCUUGGAGGAUAUUUCAGUUCUUGAGUUAUGUGUCCAUAGUAUGCUGUGCCAAUGUGACAUCUGUCAUGAUUUAUGAAUAGUGGGUGGAUAACCUUUCGCUUCUUGUUGAUGCUUAUGAUUUGGUCAGCUGCAGGAUUCAUCGUUAACAAGCAUUGUGAAGGAUAGUGAUGUUGCAACUUGCAAGCCUUAUGAUGUUCAGUGGACUAAUUUAAAUUUCAGUUUGUUCUACCUCAUGUUGCCCAUUCUACUAUUUCUCUCAUCAUGCAUUCUUUACCAAUGAAAAAAAAAAAGAUGUUGUAGUUGUAGCUGUUAUUGCAGAAUUGCCCUCCUACAUUGAAAGCUUGCAAAAUUUUAGAAGGUGAGCUCCAUGUGAAUGAUAAACCAAACUUUGUAUUGUGACGCUGUGAUAAUAGUGACUUUAAACUAUUAGAGGGUAUGCUAAAAGAAGCUAUUGUUUGUAGAAUACCCAUUUAGCCAAAGAAAAGGGAGAAGAAAGCAUUUUUUUUUCUUUUCCUGUUAAGCGAGCGUACUUUUAAACUAUGUCAUGUUUCACCGCUACUUUUGUCUCUUAGUGAUGUUUAAUUUUGAGCUGUGUCAUGUUUCACCAUAACUGUUUCCCUCUUAGUGAUGAGUGAUGUUUAAUUUUGAACUAAUUAGUGCUAACAUCUUCAUGUUUUGGUUUCAGCUGCACUGAAAGUUGCAUCAUACCUGCCUCUUCCCUACUCAGUCCUUAGCUCCUUGCUGAUCGUCCCCACCCCACUGCGGGAUGCAGUCUAUGAUUACAUCGCAAAGAACCGCUAUGACUGGUUUGGCAAAGAUGAUGAGUGCAUUGUCACCAAGGACAAGGAGAUUCUGGAGCGCUUCAUUGACCGGGAGGAAAUGCUUGGUGGUGGUCCCAGCAAUAGCUUCUUUUGAUUGCAUUUUUGGCUGUGCCGUUGCUCACACUUAUACUGUAGGAAAGCGCUGUAAAUAAUCCUCGUCUCCAUCUAGGUACUCUUCAGAUAGUUUUCUUAACUCCUAGAACUUCUGCAUUGCAUGUUAACAACAAUGCAUCGAGCACCUGCAAGGUUUGUCAAAUCAGGUUUAUUCCAAGUUGAUUGCAAAACGUGAGCUAGUUGAUGUCUAAGAUUAGAAUUUUGCAAUAUGGAUUGGUAGUCGGUGUAAGGCAUGAAAGUUACAAGUGCCUUGAUGUGACAUUAUAUCUUUUACUAUACCUGCUGUCUCGUAUAUGGGGUAUCUCGUUCAAAUAACUGCACUACAUAAUAAUAUACUCAGUUGCCACAUUUAUCUUAUGAUUUUCUUUGCGCUGAGACUUGCAAUUCAUGUGAUACAAAGGAUCUCUUUUAGAGGCUGAGGUCGUUGCUCAAUUUGUAUAAUUCAUGUUUCCUGUAAAGGCAUGUUUGGUUCUCUAUACCCAGCCUUGCCAGCGCUUUCCUUUCCAAAAUUUGGUAUGCAAGCAUCUGGUUUGUGUUAAACUUUGGUAAAAAUUCCUCAUAUUGCCAAUACUUGUUUUUCUUGCCAAUGUUUGGCCAGGUCGUUGGGUGGCCAAAACGGUGACCAAACUUUGGUAAGAUUCGGUAGGGUAAUUUGCCCCUAAAUCUCUACGGCUUCUUGAUUGCUUAAACGUCUUACAUAACUGGAUGAUUAUUAUAUGAAUGAUAAAUAGGUCAUCAGAUAAAGUUUAGGACAACUAAUAGCUCGUUUAGUUGAGAUGCUUCAAAACGCUAAGGAUAAGCUAAUGAGAUGUUUCACACAGUUAUGCAUGAGCUCAGCUGCCAGCUCAACAAAUCCUUGUACUUACUGAGAAGAGGUUUUUCACUGACAGAAUGCUUCUUCAACAAGGUUGGGAGAAGCAUAGAAAGCGAAGCUGAAGUACAAAGGCGUUUAGUCCCCAGGAAGUCGAGGUAGGUUAGAGAUACAUACAGAUAUAGAUGUACAAGAUACAUUCUCUACAUGAACGUUCAAAAACAGCUAAGGCCUUGUUUGGAUGUUAUCGGAUUUACCUCAAUCCACAUGUGUUGGAGUGGAAUUUAGUUUAAGUUUCACUCCAAUCCACCCCAACACAUGUGGAUUGAUGCGAAUCCGACUAUAUCCAAACAAUGCCUAAAGGUUGCGCUCAUGGGGUUCCAGCCAAGGGAAUCCAAGCGUCUCAAACACAUCCUUCUCGGUGUCACAGUUAACUAUGGCAUCCGAUCUGCCAGCCUGUAAAAAAUUAUAACAAAUCAACUGAAACUGGACAGAAAGGUUUCCCAUUCGUGAUGAUAUGAAUAUACGUACAUGUUUUCCACCACUGCCGCGGGUAGCUAGAUAUAAUCCAGUAUCGUCAAGUACAUAUCCUUUAGAAUCUGCUAGUAGCCUUAAUCUGCAUGAUUUGUUGAGUUUAGAUCCAAGGGAAGCGGUAGUUUUCAUUCGGUGACUGUCAGAUAAGAAAAGGGUAUAUUUUGAGUUAUACCGCCGAUUUAGUACAUCAUUUCCAGUCCAUGCAAGCAGACCACAUGCAUAUCUGUUCCUCGGGUAUACCUGUCGAUACACAACAAUAGUCAGUUUUAUAACCCAGAAACUGGUAUAGUGUCAGGCUUGUGAAUUCAUCAUUCAGUGCCAGAAGGAAUAGCAAAACAGGGUUUGUUGUUACAACAGUAACUAGAAAAAGAUCAUGACAAGUCAGUUAAUGUAAUUACUACAUAUAAUACGGGGACCACAAUACUGUUCCUACUUUUCAAAAGCAACCUAACUGACGAUGUACAUUGGAAACUUCCAUGUACCUUUAAGUCGAUACGGUGCCGCAGCUCACGCCCAGGGUACGUGCAAAGACCAAAGUAUGUGUCAACCCCGCUAUCAGACCCCUGCAUUGAAUUUCAACCAUUUCAGAACUCAUAAAAAACUUGGAUUUAGAGUUUUAAGUUAAUUUAUCAAUUUAACACAUCAGCUAAGCAGUUAUUGCUAUCACAGGAACUGCUAGAGAACUACAGAAGUCACAGCUCACCAGGUGGUGGAAUUUAACAACUUACAUCAACACUGUGUAUGCUAAAGAUAAGAUCCUCCCUCAAAAAGUUAAUUUCCUUCAACCGUUGAACAAACUUGGGUAAAAAUCCUACAUGGCUGAAGGAAAAUUUGUAACGGUUUAUGCAAACAUUUAUUUAUGUACCAACAAAGUUCUAAAAUCUUUUAGGUUUACCUUUCUCCAUCAGGAUGAGUUAUAAUAAUAUCCAUGUCACCACAAGAUGCUUUACCACGUCUAUAUGAUCCUCCACAAACAAUUAUUACCUACAAACAAAAAAGAAUGUACGCAAAAAGUUCAAUAGUAUCUAGAAAUUGUACUUCAACACUGCAAAAUCAGAAGCAUAGAGAACUAUACUAAAUCGAUAAGAAAGCAUUUCAAUUCAACCGGUAAAGAAACACCUAGAAUGUUUGCAAUGGAUAUAGCGUCAACAUAUGCUUCAAUAUUGGCAUUUAAACAGCUCUUGUGUGCUGGAGAAUACAGUAGUUCCCCAAAAUGGUGAAUUUUAUGUAACUCACCCCAGGCAAGAUAUCAGUCCCAACAUCUUUUAAAAGCUCCUCCAUCUCGCUAACCUAGAUAUUAUGAAGCAAUAUGUAUCAUAUGCAAGAUCCACAUAAGCUAGUAACAAAUACACACAUAAUCAUACAAACUACAUACUUCAUGUCGGGGUAUUCUUUGCUUGAUAUCAUCAAAAAACUUCAAUCCAAUCCUCUGCGCAUUUGUAAGUGAUUCAUCUUUGCGUAGAUCAUCAAGAGUACGGUGUCCCUUUUCGUAUAACUUGAGCGCAGUUGCAGGACCAACUCCCCAAACUUCACCAAAUAAACUGAUGGUCCUUACCUUCAAAGUGAAUUAUGUUGAUAUUGCCAAAGGUAGCUGAACAUGUCCAAAUCAUGUUUUGCAUUACCUUUUCAUCAUUCUCAAAGUGUUCCAGCUUGGAGAGUUUUCCAGUGGUGACUAUUUCAUUUAUCUGCACACAGAGAUUGCUGGAUUUAGCUGAGGUCAUGGACACUGCAAGUCUAGUUAUAAAUGUAAGACUCCUAAUGUUUCUGGGAAUUGUACUUGUACUAGUUGGCAUAGUAAUGAAAACAAUGUACGACAUCCAGUGGUACUUUGCUACUAUUUUGAACAAUAUGAAAGGCAAAUGUCUUUGUCAGAACACAAAGAUCGCACAUGCCUUCUAUUCGAACCAGAGUUCACAAUAUGAUUGCUAAGUGAUUCACAAGAUAUUGAAAAAACAUGACUACUGACUACUGAGGUAUGUUUCUUUCACAUUAUUGAGCCCAAAACAUACUCAUUGGCCUGUUCAUUUUGUAGAAAUAGUGGUAAACAGCGAGAACAAUUUUAGGAAGCAAUAUUAACAGUAAUCAAUGGUAGAAUUAGACAUACAUACAUGGUCUUUCAAAGAUUUCCCGAUAGUAGGGAGACCUUUGACUUGGUCAGCACUUUCAAUUUUGAAUGGCAAUUUCUCAAUCACCGGUAUGGCCUUGUAAUAGCUAAAUGAUCUUCUGUCAUCUCCCAGGGCUUCAAGAGGAAAUAUGAUAUGUUAAAGGCUUAAAGCAAUCAGUUAAUGUACGAGAGAGUUUAGUGCACUUACCCCUAUAGAUAUCGAUAAGUCUUCCGAAAAUCUUGGUGAUGUUCCUGUUCAAGUCUGCUGGAGCAUAUAUGCUGGGCCCUCCAGAAGAGGCUUCCUGGUCACACAAUUCAUGAAUUAGCACAUGAAUAUAAAUAUCCACCUGAGCCAUAAAUAGAGAAUACAGAUAUCAUAUUGAAGUUUGUGAAAGUGAGGUCCAAAUUCAUUAACAAUGAACAUCUGUCUGUUUUUAUUCACAUUAUUUGGUAUGGACACAAGAAAUAUGAAGAAGGAUGGCAUGAGAAAACAAUAUAGUUCAGAAUAAAAGAUGGAACACUAGUUUUUCAGAUUGCUUUUAUAUACCUCUAUGCCAAAUGUACCAUGAGAACCUACGGUAUCCUUGGAAUCUGCUGAGCUACUCUGGCUACUUGCAUACUGGUUAGGCUGCUUUCCGGCACUUGAUCCUUCAACCAUAUGUGCACUUGCACCAGGAGACCCUGCAGCUGCUAGUUCGCUCUCCCUGUCCCCUCCACUAACUCUCUGGCAGUCCCCAGGAUACUCAGAUGACAUUUUGGUCCUUUUAGCCGGCUGCAGCGCACCUAAAUUUUCAGUGCCAACCGCAUUCUUUGGCUUUAAUUCCUCUUCGUAAUUGAUUGCAAACUUGUGGUUGGGCAGUCUCUCCCCAGACUUGAGGCACUCCUCCAUCCAUUCGAAGGACACCACACUCUGCAAUCAAUUGUCCAAUCCAUAAAACGGCAAUUUGGCAUGACAAUUGACAACACGAAGCCUCCACAGGUCAAUGCAGCAACGAGAUAGCCAAAUACAAAUGGCAGCACACACGCAGCAGCUUGCACACAGGAAGGAAUAGGAGGCUAGGGCUUGUAUCGCAAUGGGAGGGGGGAAGAGAGCAGCGAUUACCCCGCGGAAGCGGUGGAGCCAGGCGGCGUCGAGCUCCCGGAGUAGCGCCUUGGCGUCCAUGGCCAGCACGUGGUUGAACCCCGCCAGCUCGCCCUUGGGGGGCUUCUCCACGACUCGGCCCCCCAUCUGCACCAGCCUCUGCUUCCACACCUGCAUCGACCAUCCCCAAAUGCCUAAGCACACAAUAACGACUCGAGGCGCCAACGAGAGUGUGGGUUGGGGGAAGAGCGCGACCUCGAGGCGGCGAGCCUGGACGCCAUGGGGAACGAUGAAAGCGGAGACGCCGCGGAAUAUGCCGUCGGGGUCCCGCUCCGCCGCUACGGCAGGCUUCCGCUUCGGCGCCAUCAGAAACCCCUCCCGCCUUGUCCCCUUGCGGUUGUGGCGGCGUCGUUGGGGGUUUUCUGCAGUUCCGCUGUAUACAGCGACCAACUUCUUCCCCUUUUUGGUUUUCAGUUGUCCCGAGGAAUGGCCUUCGGCCAAAGAAAAAACUUUGAUCUUCUCUAUAAAUUUAUUUUAAAAAGUAGCAUAUUUGUAACCAAACUAAUCUUAUUUUAUCGAGUAAUAUGUUUUCAUAACAUAACUAUUUAGUGUCGUGUGCAUUAAUAUUUUUCUCUUAUAAAUGUAGGUCAUGUUUCGAUCUAUUAGUCGCUACUCUCUCCGUUCCAAAUUAAAUAUAUUAUUUUGUUAUGCAUCUAAAUAUAUGCUAUGUUUAAAUACAUGAUAGAAGCUGUGUUAAAAAAGCCAAAACGCCAUAUAAGAUAUAUUAUGUGUAGGAAAUGCAAUACUGUGUGCAAUAUGCCCAUGGGAAGACAGGCCUCGUGACUCUGCCGUUUACACAAUGACAAUAAUAUAUGAUUAUAGAAAGCCUAGCCACACCAUUUGCACAUAAAAUCUUGCUAGAUCAAUUUACACGCAGAAAACCAAAUAAUGAGCAAGCACAGUAAUAUUUGCACAAAAUCAUUUACAAAGUACACCAUCCAAACAAAAAUCAAAACCGCACACAAAUCCUAUAUAUUGAACUUCAAUGGUAUCCUCCUCCUAACAUGGAGAGGAGGGGAUUAUUGCUUGUAAAAAAUCAAAUCAAAUCAAAACUUAUAGUUUCUUUCCCUCAAAUUUUACAACUCAAGCAAUGUACAAAACCCCAAAAAAAAAACAAACAGAAGGCACGCCGAACUAUCACCAAUAAAUAGUAUUCGAUCCACACUCUGUUAAAAACUGUUGCUAACUAGUAACUGUAACCAGCUAACUGCUGUCUCAUGCAGUUUCUGCAGUGUCAGUUGUAGCUGAGGGCUUUUCAGUGGCAGUGUCGUCCUGAGAUGACGGCUCAACGACUGUGUCGGCGUCUGCCAGCUUCUCAUGGACUGGGUCCUCUUCCUCUAAUGGUUUCCCAUUGGCUGAUUUCUCAGGGGACACGUCCUCCUCUAAUGCCUUGACACCAUUGUCCUCUUCCUGCUGUGGCUUCUCCGUAGCUACAUUGUCCUCUUCCUGCUGUGGCUUCUCCACAGCUACACUGUCCUCUGAUGACUUGGCAUUUGCCUCGUCGUCCUCCGAUGGUUUCUCAAGAGCAGCAUUGUCUUCCAAUGGCUCUACACUUGCCUCACUUCCCUCCAAUGACUUCUCAAGUGCCACACUGGACUCUGGCUUGGGAAUCACCUCAUCUUCUUCUUUUGCUUCCCCAAUGGCAGCAUUGUCUUCUAAUCGCUCUGCAGUUGUUGAGCCUUCCUCCAGUGGCUUCUCGGGAGUUACAACAUCCUUCGAUGGCUUGGCAGUGACCUCUUCUUCCUUCAAUGGUUUAUCGAGAACAGAAUUGUCUUCUGAUGGUUCCACACUUGCCACACCUUCCUCCAGUGGCUUCUCAGGAGUUGCAAUAUCCUCUGAUGGGUUGGCACUCACUUCAUCGGCCUCCAACAGUUUCCCAAAGGAUGCGUCACUUUCUGAUGGCUCCGCACUCGUCUCGUCCUCCUCCAGUGGCUUCUCAGGAGUUACAGUAUCCCCUGAAGACUUUGAGCUCUCCUCAUUGGCCUCCAAUGGUUUCCCCAGGGGAGCAUUGUCUACUGAUGGCUCUGCAUUUUCCUUGUCUUCCUCUGAUGACUUCUCAGAAGUCACAUGGUCAUCUGGCAGCUUGGCACUCACCUCUUCUGGCUCCUCAAUAGCUUUGUUUUCCUCUGAUGGUUUGCUGCUGGUAUCUUCAUGGUGUAUGCAAUCUUCAACAACUGUGUCACUUCCUGGUGUUGUUUCUAUGGGUGCACUUCUCUGAUGUGGUGUCUCAUAAGAAAUGUCACCCUGUACAGGUUCAUCAGUGGUUAUGCUGCUGUUCUGAUGGCAUACAGGAAGUGUUUCAGUAUCUGAGCUGCUUUCCGACGGUUUAUCACAAGCAGCAUCACUUUCAGUUCCCAUUGGCUUCUUAGCAGAUGCAUCAUCUUGAGGUUUCACUGGCUGAUCAGUUGCCUUAUCAGGAAGAGCAUCAAUUUGGAGUUCUGGUGCCUCCAUGGUAAUCACAUCAGUUUGAGACUCUGAUGGCUUACUGACAGAUGCAUUGCUCUCAGGAUCUGAUGAUGGUACUGAUAGUUUAUCAGCACCUGCAUCACUUUGAAGCCUAGAAAGCUCAUCACUAGGUGUGCUACUUUGAUGCACUUCUGGCUUCUCAGUUGAUUUAUCGCUUUGCGGUUCUGGUGACUGCUCAACUGACUGAUCUGCAUUAUUUUGUGAUUCUGCAGUUUUUUCUGUAGCUAUGUCACUUUUAGGCUCUGAUGAAUCUUUGGCAGCUGUAUCACUAACAGGCUCUAGUGGAUUCCCAGAAUGAUCCUCAUUUUGAGGUUCCAAUAGCAGCUGCAUAUCCGCAUCCUUCUGAUGUUCUGAUGGUUGCUCCUUUGGAACCUCAGCAGGUGCAACGUGUUGAGAUUCUGAUGAGUGCUCAGCAACUGCAUCAUUUUUAGCUUCCAUUAUAUUGUCAGCUUCCUUCUCAGCCACAAUGCCUUUAGACUCUAAUUGCUGCCCAGCAUUUGGAUUGCUUUGGAAGUCUGGAGGAUUCGUACCAGAUGAAAGCCCUUCAGGUUCUGAGUGAUCCUUGUUUAAUUUAGUGGCAUUACUUUCAAGCUCUAGCAUAUUCUCAAUAGAUACUUCACUCCCUUUCGUCUCCGCAGCAAUCUUUUCACUUUGAUGUGGCUUCUCAACCUCUUCAGUUUUCAGUGGCUGCUCAGAUUGUUCGUUAGUUUGAACUGGCUCCUCUGAAGCAUCUUUUAUUGAUGGCUUCUCAGUGAUUAAAUUGGUUGGAGGUGGCUUCUCAACAGCCAUGGCACUUUGCAAUAUUUUCUCAGUAUCCAUAUUCCUCUCCAAGAUCUCCUGAGGGGCUGUAUCACUUUGAGAUGGCUUCAAUGUGGCUGCUACACUUUCUACCUUCUCAGUGAUCAUACUUUGAAGUGGUUUCUCAGUAGCAGUGUCAACAUUUGAUAACUUCUCAGCAUUAAAAGCACUUUCUGAUGGUUUCUCAGUGGGCUCAGGGAUCUGACUAGGUGUUAUGGUAGGCAUGUCAGUUUGUGAUGGUUUCUCUGUGGAAACAUCACUUUGCAAUGCGGUUGCAGCAAGUGGUGGCACUUUGGUUGUCUCACUUGUUACAGAUAGCUUCAUGGAUGUAUCAUUGCUCUUCUUUGUAACUUUGAUGGUCUGCGAUUGGUUUUCAGUGGCCACAAUGACUUUCUGUGGCUCCUCAGUAGGUACAUUGCUCUGAAACAUUUUCUCAACCGUGUUGCUUUGCACUAGACUCUCAACGACCACCUUGCUUGCCAAUGGCUUAUUGCUAGACAUAUUACUCUCUCGCUGGUUUUCUGGAGUUACACUUCUUUGCCAUGUCUUUUUCACAGCUACGUUGCUUUGGAACGGCUUGGAGACAGCCACACUGCUUUGCAAUGGUUUCACAACAGCCGUACCACUUUGUGACAGCUUCUCAGUUGCAGCACUGCGCUGCCACAACCUUUUGACAGUUCCACUAGCUUCAGUCGUCUUUGGAUCAACUGCAGUGGUCAGCGGUUGCUUCCCAGUGUCUAUGUUGCGUUGCCAUGACUUUCUAACUACAGCUGCAGUAGUCUCUGAUGGCUUUACACCAUCUGUAGUCUUCGUAUCAUCUGCGCUCUUAGUGUCAUCUGGACUGGCGACCAAUAGCUUCACAUCAUCUGCACUCUUCACAUCAUCUGCACUCUUCACAUCAUCUGCACUCUUUGCAUCAUCUGCACUGGUGUCUGAAGGUUUCUCAACGUUUUCAGUUUGUUGCUGUGGCACAGGGGCUACUGUACUGGUUUCCCCUGGUCUCACAUCAACCACACUGGUUGCAGACGAUUUCUCAGUACCUACAGUGCUCUUUAGUGACUUAUUAUUGAACAUCCUGCGUCCCCAUGGACUUUUAACUUCUGUGGUGUUAUCUAAUGACUUCAUGUCGGUUGUUGGUGAUGGUUUAUCAGUAGCUACACUUUUAUGUGACUUCUCAGUUGGUGCACUGUUCUGUAAUUGCUUCUCAGCAGCCAUAUUGCGUUGCCAUGGUUUUUUGACCACUUUGCUGCUUUCUGAUGGCUUUGCAUCAUCUACACUGGUCGCUGAUGGCUUAUCUGAUGGUAAAACGAUCUGUGGUGGAUUCUCAGUUGGCACAUUUUGCUGCCCUGGUUUUUUUACUAAUGUGCUGCUUUCAGGCUGUCUCAUAUCAACCCCAUUACUUGAUGAUGGCUUCUCAGUGGCAUCACUGCUCGGUGAUGGCUUUACAGUGCUUGUGCUACUCAGAAAUGGUUUAUCUGUUUGCAGACUUCGUUGCCAGGGUUUUCUCAUGGCUGCACUGUUUCCUGAUGGCUUUACAUCAACCACACUGUUCUGCAGUGGCUUUUCUACACUACUUUCUGAUGGCUUGUUGUUGACAACAUUACUCUUUGACUCACUCUCAGUACCUCGUUCAUUUUCUGCCAUGGUGCUUUCAGAUGGUUUUGUGACAUCAACACUACUUUGCAAUUGUUUCUCAGCUGCAACAUCAUUCUUUGAAGUUUUCUCAUCUAUAGGUUCAUUUUCUACUGGUUUCUGUGUGACUUCAUCACCUUGAUUUGGAUUUUUGGUGGCUUCUUCAGUUUCUGGUUGUUUCUCACUAGCAACUUUUGCAUUCCCAGAAUUGUCCUCGAACUGACUGAAAUUCCCCUUAACCAUAAACAGUUGAGAAUGGUGGGUCUUGCAAUAAAGUUUGCCUUCAUGGGUGAUAUGAUUGGAUGGGCUGAGCGUACAACCACCAUGGGUGCAGCGGAAGCAUGAUUUAUGAUAAGAAUUUCCAUUAAGAGCAACCUGCAAAAAUGUAACAGCGUGAUGUAAAUGUGCCCUUAAAUUAUACUCUGCAAAAGAGGCUGGUUAAAAUUAUUCUAUGACCCUUUGACAGCUAUGCACUUAGUGCACUAUGAUUCCAUUCCCAAAAAAAAGCACUUAGUGUACUAUGAUAGAGGUCACUGAAUUCUGAAGGACAUACACCAUCACUUUGGCUUGUGGUGAAGAGAUCGAAUUUUUAAUACUAAGAUUUUUUUUCUACAUGUUACAUGCAAUGGAGAAUUAUAUUAGAUGCACUAUCCUGAAAUUGCAAUUACUAUAGAAUUUUUCCAAUACUAAUAGUCAUAAAAAGUUUAAUUACAUUAGCAGUUGUAAAGAAACUAUGCUUUCUGAUUUUUCAGAUAAUGGAACAAAGUUCCAGCCUCUACCAUCCGUGGACGGUACACAGCUGAACUAUGCUUCUGAUAAAAUACCUCUGAGCAAGAUUAUGAAUUUAAACAGAGGACUCCCCCCACCCCACCCCCCCACACACACCUACCACCACCACACACAUACACACACACACACACACUUAGGACAUGAAUAGUUGUCAGCGAGUACACUUAGGAGCAAACUGUGCUUAACUGCCAAAGCAUUUUUUACUCUAGUUUAGUACAAAAGAGGAAGACUGACUAAUACUGACCUUCUCAAGCGGGUACACAGUCUUGUUGCAAACUACACAUUUCUCUUGUGUGCCAACAAACAUAUUAGAGAAUCUACUGCUUUGUUGGCCCUGCACAUUGACAAUAAAAAAAAUAGAGGAAAUUGGCAUAAAUUUGCUGUAUAUUGCAGUAUCAGUGAAAUGUAUUAGGCACCAGGCAUGCCCUAGAGAAGCUCAGAUACCUUAUGUCCAUUUGAUUUUUCUGACUUAGCUGAUCGGGCCACACCUGACAUAUAACACAGUAAUAUUUCAGAGAACAACAUUAGUUCGCUUUUUUCUCAAACACGCAGGAGAGAUAUGUAUCAUUGCAUUAGUAGAAGAAGAGAGUCGUAUCCCACACAAACACCACUGAAAAAGUGUUAGCUCACAAAGAUGUGUUAUAUUAUAAAAACAAUGCUAAAAUAAAGCACCUGGUUUACAGGAUGAAAAGAGAAAACCAUUGUGAUCGUGUGCAUAAUAAGAUGUGAUAAUAUAAUUUCAUAUUCAAUUGCAGCUAUAAGAACUGUAGCCAACACUCUUGUAGUGUAGCAGUAAGCUCCCCAAUUGAACGAGAAACCGGCCAUGGUCCAAAUCCUGGUGGCAACCAAAAAAAAUCCCUUUGUGUGCAACCCAAAAAGACAGUGUGCCAGGGCGCCUGUGGUGCUUGUGGUUGGUUUGGGCCCUCCUAUCAGGGUAGUUGCAGUUGUCACAACCCCAUAAAGUCGUGGUCGGCCCAGAUUAUGUUAUGGCCCUAUAGGGUGAAUCCAGGGUUUGGGGUUUUUUCUUGGCUUGUCUGGUUGAGGCUUCUUCUUAAUCAUAAUGCUUUGGGGAGGCUGUUCCUAGGGUUGAUUUAUUUUUUGGAGUUGUAUAAUUUCGAUCAGAAACAUAUGCACUGUAGCAUCUACUCAUGCAAAUUGUGAGGACAAUAAGGUAUUUAAAAUAUAUAUAUAUCACAGCAUCUUAGUCCAAUUGAUUGUCUCUAAUACCUUCAAAACUUUUCUCCAAACUGCCUGUUGAUUUUAAUAUCUGGUCAUAGUGAGGCUUGCAGUAUAGGACACCUUCCACGGAAGAAUAAUUACUAAACUGCAGAAAGAAGAACCAGAAGAAUGGGGUUAGCUCCAGUAUUAGUUUGAUUAGGUUUCACAGAUGCACAUUUUGGCUGUAAACAUAUGAAGAUAAUACCAUUGUCAACUAGUUUGACGUAGCAUAAGUAUUAUCAUUAUUGCUGUUGUAAAAAUGUAAAGCUUCUGAAUAAAGCUACAGUGUGUCAAACAAUGUGCUCUAAAGUAAUAGUGGUAGCAUAGGCUUCUUCUGAGUUUUGUUCUGCUGUUUAUGUGUGCGGGUGAUCUGUAUGGGGCUCUACUCCCCCUCUUUUUUUUCUUCUUAAUAUAUUGAUACACAGCUAUCCUGCAUGUUUGAGGGAAAACAAUUAUAUACAAACAAAUUCCAGUACACUGAACUCCCCACUUUACCAAGAACAAAAGUGCUUCAAGAAUCUAGACUGUUUUUCUAGAAGAGAAAAAAAUCUUCAAGCAUGUCUCAAGUCUUGCGCUUUGUGAUUUCUACCCAGCUCACUAUCAUGCAGGAACUAGUAUUAUUCUGGUUAGGUUUCACAAGUGUAGCUUUGGCUGCAAAUAAGAAAAAAUAGCACUGAUGCCCACUAGUAUGAUUGUAGCGUAAGAGAUUCACUAUGAUCAUUAUUGCUCUCAACAAAAUUAGAAGUCUCUGAAUUAAGGUGCAGCUGUGCCAAACAACACGUUCUCAUGGAAUAAUGCAAGCAAGUCUAAUCAGGUACCAAUACUACAUCCAUAUUGGAAAGGCAUUUGUCUUGCACUGCAUUAUUACAUGAUUAUAUGUCAACUGACUGCAAGAAUUAUGACAGCUAUGCCAUGUGCAAGGGAAAGCAAGUACAAAGUGAUCAUGAUAUAGCAAGGCACUGUUUUAAUACUUAAAGUGAUAGAUAUGACAUCUCAUUACAUCAGUAGCCUAUUGAGAUGGAUUCCUCAAAAAGUUAAAUGCAUAUUAUAUUCAUAGAAGGACAGAAAUCUUUAGAUAAUGACAUUAUUUCACACUCUACAUUAUCAUGAUUAAAAGGUAAGAUCAAUUGUCAUUAGGUAUUCAUCGGGGAACAGCUGAAGAUUUAAAUGCGCACUUGCCAUGUGGUUGCAAGAGAAAAGUUCACUGAUGGCACAAUCGUGCUUAAAUGAAACAACAAAUUCUGUACCCUGUACUGUGUACUCCCUAUCCGUGAUUUUGUACCCAGUUCGCUAACAAGCAAGAACCAGUACAAAUUCAACGCGUAACAAGUAACUCCGUGCGCAAAUCCUGCACAAUCGCAGUCGACAUGAUCAUGCAACCUAUAACUGACAAACCCAGACCAAGGAAGUACAGCAAUUGAAGGAAGCAGCCAAGCAAUUCGAAGCAAGGACAAGAAAGCAAGACAAGACAGCCCAGCUACUCUGACUUGAGCGACGCUCGCAAUAAUAGCCAGAAUCACAAAAGCACCAGUAACAGUGCGACUGAUCCUACACGUGAACUUUCGCUUCGUAAUAACAAGACUGUGCUCGACAACACCCCAAGAGUCCAUGCGCGAGCCGAGCAGGGGAGGGAGGAAACGAAGGGGGCUGAAGAGAGAGGGACCUGGAGUGUGCUCUUGCAGUGGUGGCACCGGAAGCAGGGGCGGUGGUAGACGCGGCCGUCGGCGGCAAGCUCCUCGACGGGGUACACCGUCCGGCCGCACGACGCGCACUUCUGCGUGGUGCCGCCCCACGCCCCCGACAUCCCCUCGCCGUCGCCGCCCUCCUGCUGCUCCGUCGUAGCGAAGGAUCGAGGAGGGAGAAAAAGGAGAGAGGGAAAGAGAAGGAGGCGACGGCGACGGGUGGGGUGGAUGAUUGGCGGAGGUGAAAACGGAAGGAGAGGAGAGGGCAGCACAGCUCAGGCGGCCUGUGUGUCGUGGAGGGAGAGGGAGAGGCGUGGGAGAAUAACGGAGGCGCGGACGGCGAGUUGGUGCGGACUGCUGCCGGUGUGCGCUCCCGCGCCUGCUUUUGUCAAAAGAGGUCGGAAUUGCUACGGACACCACCGCAGGCCGCCUGCAGGGAAUUUAGGGAUGUGUCAGUCGUAUAUUUUUGAAAGGAAAAGUUUUAAAAAAAAACUUUCUUUCAAAGUCUGAUCAUGAAAGUGUCAUCACUAAUGAUAUUGACAUUAAAAUAUUUAUCAGGUACAAACUUAGCUAGGUCUGUAAUAACAUGAACUUAGAGGUUGGUUAUUUAGAGCCUCUUUGGUAUAGGAAUUUUAUAGGAAUUUAGAGGUGACUACCCUAUUUUUUUUAAUCUAAAAAUCUAUUUAGAGCCUCUUUGGUAUAGGAAAUUUAUUGGGAUUUAGAGGUGAAUACCUUAUUUUUCUAAUCUAAAAAUCAAUGUGCUCCAGAUAUGCCUCAUAAAUUAGAAACAAAUCCCAUGGAAAUGUACUCCUUAGAGCAACUUGAGAGACUCUUUAAAUCUUUAUUGAUAGGAAUAUAUAUUUUGGUGAAGAAAUACCCUCUAACAACUUCUUUAAUCUAUAUCUCCUAUAAAGAUAAACCCCAUUACCCUAAUUCUCUAGCAUCUCCUUAAGCCACGUCAUCCACUUCCCACCUCCACCUUCACCCCGUUCUCUAGCGUCGCCUUCCUGACUCUCGCAUCUUCAGUUAAACAAAAACGGAUCCCACCUCCAAUUGCAGGCUGCAACCCAUCUUCCAGCGCAGCCUCUUGGUGGUCAAGUGCGCCACCUCGCCGCCCUUCCCCGACCCUCCGCCUCCACCCCUCAAUAUUAACCAUCACAUUACCACAAAUAUCUCCUAUAAAGAUAAACCCCACUAUCCUAAUUCUCUACCAUCUCCUUAAGCCACGCCAUCCACUUCCCACCUCCACCUUCACCCCGUGCUCUAGCGUCGCCUUCCUGACUCUCGCAUCUUCAGUUAAACAAAAACGGAUCCCACCUCUACCUGCAAGCUGCAACCCAUCUUCCAGCGCAGCCUCUUGGUGGUCAAGUGCGCCACCUCGCCGCCCUUCCCCGACCCUCCGCCUCCACCCCUCAAUAUUAACCAUCACAUCACCACAAACGAACAGACACAAGCAUUUAUCUUCACAUUGAUUCCUCAGCCACAUCACUGCAAACUCCUUACGAAAGAAAUUGAACCAUCCUGCUAACUUUGUGUAUAAAAUACCUUUCCUUACCUCCUCCACUGUGCUCGUCGACGCCGACGACAAGAGAGUGCAGACCUCCACAAGCGUGUGGCCUUCUCCGAAUUGGCUACUCCACAUCUGCGUGGCCCUUCACCGCAUUGGCGCCAGCCAGGUCUGCCUCGAUGCUAGCCUUCUUUGCCUCCGCGUGGAUCUCUCCGCCUGGCUGCUCUGCAUAUGCGUUGAUUGCUCUGUGUCUGCGUCUGGCUGCUUUGCCACGAUCUGCUUCUGGGUUGCCCUUGGUUGAGAUUUGAUAAGGUUCCUAGCACAUCCGAAGAGAAGAGACAGUACACAGGGUCAGGCCAUUGGCUUUUUUUAUUCUCCAAACACGUGUACCCGGUAGUUUUUUUUCCUAGCCCAUUGGUAGAAUUUUUUUUCUUUUUCUAAUGAACUCUAAGUGAACGACAUUGAGUCCAUGGCUGAAAGGUCCUUGUUUAGUUUUGGUAAUUGAGUGACAACUUAGGUGGACUAAUAGUGUUUAUGUGAGAUACACAGGAGAUUAGUCCACAGGUGAUGAUGUGAUAAUGGAGGAGCUCAUUACAUAUGAUACAUGACAUGGAGUCAUGUGACCAAGGUGGAGAAGAUCAAGAUGAGGCUUGGCUUGAUGGACCGGUUGCAAGAGUGAAGGGCAAGUCGGAGGCUUUGAAGCGAGGGACCGCGUGUGACGGUGAAGCUUGAGCAAGACUUGGCGCCGAUGGACCGAGGCAACGGUGAAGAGCAAGUGAGGUCAAGAUCGAUGAACCAAUACGGUCACGUGAUGAUAUGAAGUGGAUCAUAUCAUUUGGUGAUUGGUUGGUGCAUGUGUUGCAUCAACAUUGGAGGAGUUGGAAUGGAAAGCGCAAGGCAAAGGUAUAACCUAGGACUUUUCUAUUUCACCGGUCAUAGGUGUGUAGAGAAGUUUAUGACCGGAUUUAGGAUAGAUGGCCGUACUAUCAAGAGGGGCAAACUUGUUUGCAUAUCGGUCAUCUAGUGCCACUUGAGCGAUCUAACUUUGCAUAUGUGUUAGGAUCGAGUGGCGUGGCAAGUUUGAGAGGCUAACUCCUUUGGGAAAAUUGUUUGUGAAAAGCUAACACACAUGCACAUGGUGGUGUACACUUGUUGGUGUUAGCACUUUUGCAAAGGAGGUGGAGUUCCUAGGGUUGAGAGAGGUGUGGGUUUCUCUCUCCUUCCCGCCGAGCUUGCGAGGCGGGAUUCGGCGCUUUUGAGAAAAAUAAGUGUAUAUUUUCUAUUGCGCCGGUGGGAAAUUUGGAGAAGUCGCGGGAGUGUUUUCUCUCUGAGAAACACUCACCGGACGCUGAGUGCGGAGGCACCGGACGCUGGCCUCAGCGUCCGGUGUGCUUGACUUUGCUAGGGUUAAGCACCGGACGCACUCUGGUAGCGUCCGGUGGUUAGCGUCCGGUGUGAGGGGUUUUUGUAACCCUCUCUGCGCACGAGUCCGGUGAGCACCGGACCGUCCGGUGCCCAUCGUCCGGUGAGGUCGCGAGUUUGACAAACUCUCUGCGCACGAGUCCGGUGAGCACCGGACCGUCCGGUGCCCAUCGUCCGGUGGUGCCGUGCAAGCGCGCGUGCGCAGUAGCCGUUGGCGGCAACGAUUGACUUCAAACAGCUAGUGACACGUGGCUGACGCCUGAGCACCGGACGCUGGGGGUUGAGCGUCCGGUGGCUCCCUGUGAGCGUCCGGUGCCCACGUGUUUUGCCCAGUGAAGGGGCAACAGAUAGUUUAGCCCUUGGGGCUAUAAAUAGAAGUGGUGGCCGGCCUUGGCUGGUGCUGAGCACCCUUGGGACUUAGUGUCCAUGCUUGGGGAGUGCUAGUGAAGCCUCUAACUCACAUAUACUUGAUAGUGUUGAUCCGAUUGUGUGAGUGAGCGAUUCUAGUGCGUUGCAUUGAGAGAUUGCUUUCGAGUGGCACUAGGUGUUCGUGUUGCAAGCCGGUGGUGCUUGUUACUCUUGGAGGUUGCCACCUCCUAGAUAGCUUGGUGGUUUGUGACUCCGUCGAAGCACGCAAGGAGAUUGUGCGGUGCUCCGGAGAAGAGAUUGUGAGGGGUACGGUGCUCACCCCGCGGGGAUCGCGAAGAGCAACUCUAGUGGAUUGCUUGUGGCUUGGAGGAUCCCCAUCUUGAGAGUGGAUGUGCGGCACCCGCUGAGGGUUUGGCUUUGGAAUGCUAAUUAGCUCGUGAUCCAUCAAGUGGGUGUAUCGCCACAACGAGGACGUAGCUUGGUGGCAACCAAGUGAACCUCGGUAAAAAUCACCGUGUCAACAUUAUCUACUCUUCUCGGUGGUUUGCAUUCACUAUACACGAGCUUGUAUUUACUUUCUUUAUAUACUUGUGCUUGUGUAGUUGCUUUUGUAAUUAGUUAAGCUUGUGUAGCUUGCUAGUUACCUUCUUGCUUGUGUAGCUAAAAGUAGUUCCCCUUGCGUGGCUAAUUCAGUUUGUGUAACCUUGUUAGUCACUUUGCUUAGUUUGUGUAGCUAAGUAAGUUGCGCUCUCUAAUUUGGCAUUAGUUGCCUUGUUAUUGAGCUUGCUAGUGAGCUUAGGCUUUGUGCGCUUUGCCUCACUAGUUUGUGUAGGAGCUUCCCCGGUUUGCAAAGUACUAGUUGCAUAGGUUUGUGUGACCUUGCUCCUAGAAUUGUAUAGGCGAGCUCUUGCUAAGGUAGCACCUUGCUUACUUGUUUAGAAUCUUUUCAAGGUGCUAGAGAACUUAGAUAGAGGGGUGUAGUCUUGGCUAGACCGAUAGUUUUAAUUCCACAUUUGUUUCGGUUAGCCGGAGCGAUAAGUUUUAGAAAGGACUAUUCACCCCCCCUCUAGUCCGCCAUCUCGACCCUUCAACGGCUGCUGGUAUAGGGAGUUAUGGUGUUAUAUUUGUGACAAUUUGAGUUGGAGAGUAUUUUGUUUUGUUUUUUUAAUAAAGCCACCUGUAUUUCGAAACUAUAAAGUAUACAUAUACGUCUAAAGAUUCGAUGUGACGGGGAAUCCGAAAAGUUUUGCAAAAUUUUUGGGAAACUAAACAAGGCCAUGGUGGAUACGAGGGUAGUUUGAUAAGUAAAAAACACACGAAAAAAAAUAAUUUGCUCUUUAAUAUUAGAUAUAGCUAUAACUAUUGAUAGAGAUAUAGAUAUAGAUAAAUGUAGGACAGACUCAUAGUUUGUGAGCCACAAAAGAGGUGUAUAGUGCUGGUACAUAUCUUACCUUAAGGUGCAUUUCCUGUGUUCGUGUAGCAUUAGCACACCCAAAUACCAAACGAAUGAUUAGCGCUUGUUCCGUUCCAUGCCCCGCCGCUGAACGCCUGAACUGAACGUAUCACAAGCACCCCGCCUUCUCGAUGACACGUCGGACCCACGUUACGAGCACCCACACAUGUCAAAACAACAAGCAGGACUGCAGGCAGUGCUAGACACGAACUUGUGUGGCCGUACCCUUUUCUUCAUUUCCGUCCGAGCUCAGUCAGUGGGCCCGCGACGAACCUUUUCUCCGCCCCGAUCCGUCCGGCGCCCGGCCGUCCACCUCCUCCGUCCGGUGCGGUGCACCGCGUCGACCAUUUUCUCCCGCGGCCUCGGUCCCAGCACAUCGACGUCCAACCAAUGGCGAGGCCUCCCGCGGCUGGCACGCCCGUUGGUUGGAGUUGGAGCUCGAUCGGCACCACCACGGCACAGUUGUUGGCCGCGGCUGAUGCAUGGGACCGGGGCUGCCGCGUUUCGACCGGUCCGAUCGCGCCGGCCGCCCGAGUCACUGUGACGCUCGCCUCGCGGCGGCGCCGCGCCUACCCUAAAGUCGUUACCGUCCUCGUGACGUGGCCCUCGAUCUGUCUCCUCCCGCGGAGUCUUGACGACACUGUGGACGAUUGUGGUCACUGGCCCGACGCUCCAGCGGUUAGCGUGAUCGAUCUGCCGACUACCGCUGUGAAUUGGCCUGGCCCGCACCCAUCUUCAGGCCUUGUUUAGUUUUAAAAAAAAUUUAGGAAAUCAACACUGUAGCAAUUUCGUUUAUAUUUGACAAAUAUUAUCCAAUUAUAAACUAACUAAACUCAAAAAAAUUAUCUUAUUAAUUCCGACCAAACUGUGCAAUUAGUUUUUAUUUUUAUCUAUAUUUAAUACUUUAUGCAUACGUCUAAAGAUUCGAUAUGACGAAAAAUCUAAAAAAAUUUGCAAAAUUUUUUAGGAACUAAACAAGACCUUAGUCAUCAAAUCAAAUCUUACGGCACAUAAGCCUAUUUAGUUCAGGUUUAAUUUGCAAGACGAAUCUUUUAAACCUACUUAUAAUCUAUAAUUUAAAUAAUAAUUACCAAAUACAAAUGAAAGUAUUACCGUGUCUAAAUCUAAAAAAAAUACUAGAUUUAAACAAGGCCUUAAUCAUCAAAUCCUCUGCGCUUUUUUUUCUCUCUCUUCGGCCGUUCGGCGUCGGGAAUUCGGGGACUCCGACUAGCCUUUUCCGUUAGCGUGGGGUGUGGGUGUGCGGGAGUGGAGCCAAUGAGCCGUGGAUCGCGAGCAGCGCCCGUCCCGCCGUCCGUGCUGCCUGUAAAGCGCAAAGGCUGUUCUGUUUUUCGGGGACGCUGCUGGUGCCCGUCGCUGCGAUGGACGACGGAUAUAUAUCGUGGUGGUGGGCGACCGCUUUUUUUUUUUUUCCCUGCAGAUUUCCGCUAUCUGGCCACUGCGUGGUGCAAGUGAGUGGAAUCAUGCUGUCCGCUGGUUUGCACGGUUGGCUCUGGAUCGUGCUCGCACGAGCGCGCCAAACCGCCAACCAUGCAUGAUGGUUUAUGGAUCCAUCGUUUGGAACUUUCGAUUCGCCCACCUAAAUUUUUUUCGUCCAUCCUAUCGAAUCUUUGAACACAUACAUGGAACAUUAAACGUACAUAAAAAAUAAACUAAUUACACAGUUUGAUUGAAAAACGUGAGACGAAUCUUUUAAACCUAGUUACUCCAUAAUUAGCCUUAAGUGCUACAGUAACUCACAUGUGCUAAUAAUAGAUUAAUUAUACUUAAUAGAUUUGUCUUGUAGUUUUCUGAUGAGCUAUGUAAUUUGUUUUUUUAUUAGUUUUUAAAAACCCCUCCCGACAUCCUUCCGACACAUCCGAUGUGACAUCUAAAAAAAUUUCAUCUCCAAUCUAAACAGGACCAUUAUCCGGUGAUGCGCCGAUGGCAGGGCCCUAAGCUGCCUGCCGCGCCGGCGUCGUAGGCCUCGUGCUCGUGGUUCGGGCUCCAACACUAGUUCAUUGCUGCUCACUCCUCAGCCACGCUGGGCCGAUGCCCUAUAAUUUGACUUUCAGUACGUACAAAUACGGUGAAAAGAGCUUCAAACGUCUUAUAUAGUCUUAUAAUUUAGAAUGACGAAAAAAGUACAUAACAAAUUUAAAGAAAUCUAAGUAACUAAGACUAAUCUAACUAUAUUAAUUUAUAAUCUAAGAUAUCUUUUUACUAUAUGCGUACUUGUUGCGAUACGCUACGCAAUAGUAUAACGACUACAGUGCACUACCCUUUACAUCCUCAAGUUGUAGUGUGUCGAUAAUGCUAAAAAUAAUAUUAAUUAAAAUUUUUGCAUAUAUGCAAGCCACUGCUCACCCUACCAAAUUAUACAAGGUUUAACGUUCAAUUUUCCUUAAGGAUAAUAAAACUUGGUCAACGUAAUGGGUGUUGAAUAUGCUCUUGUAAGUGCUGACAGUGCCUCAUCCGAGCUUUUUCUAUUUGAUGUCUUGGAAUUCAAGCAUAUCUUCUAUGAUAUUCAAUAGUACUCCUUGGUCUUUUAUGAGGUGUUGAUCACUUGAUCUUCAGGUUUUAUUUGUCCAAACCAUCCUUGCAUCUAAAUGAACUAAAAUCUUAUAUACUAGCAGACAAUAUUAGUCCAUUUUGAUCAUGCUGUCAUUCAGUGACCAAAACCACAUAUGGCACAUAUGCUAGGUGCCAUUUUCCUUAUAGAUGGGACCCUAUCCUCUGCUAACUUUUUGUUCCUAGUGAACGAAUUGAGACACCAAUUUAGGGUUUACUAAUGAUAGAAAUAAGUUAUUGAGACUAAUAUGUGUUUUGCAUAAUUUAUUUACAUUGAUUGGUCAUAUUGAUGAGGUCCAUGUCCACAUAAGUAUGAAUGCAAAGAAUAAUCAUGAAAGGUAAGGAUUUUAUAUAGAUUUUAAGCGCGUACUUGGUGUCAGGAUGCACUUAGAAGUAGAAUAUGUCUUUGUUCUCCUCGAGCCAUUGAAUGCAUCUAGACCUUAGUGUGGCAAAAAUAGGUUUUUGAUGAUCGAUGAAUACAAGUAUUUGUGACUAACAUGUACAAGAAUAGUGAGAUGGAAUGUUGACUGACUUGGUGGUUUAGAGUUGGUGCCUAUGAGGGACUAAAGCUAUACGUUGAGAGGAGGCGACAUGUAGGAUGAAGUCAAGGAGGAGGCUUGGCCACGACCUUGUUGAUGAGUCGAUUAUCCUAAGGUUGCAAACCACAACAAUAUAUACUAGAAUCACUAUCUCUCUCUCUUCUUUAUUUUUCACUUAUGCUCUUUGAUAGACUACAUAUUUUAGUGGCAUUCAGUUAGAAGGACUGAACCUAAGGGCUUCUCGAUCCAGUGGCAAGGCAAAAACGACUCACGAUCCUAGCUGGACCACGAUGAAUCAAAUUCAUACAAGUGCACUAAUCGACUCAAUGAAGGAGAGAGAAGAAGUUGGCUCAUAUUCUUACAUCGGCUCGUCAUGAUUAAAAAAAGUCUGAGAGAGACACCAAGAGAGACUAGAGACUGAGACGCUUUGCAUGAUGUUUUUUAUUCGUGUACACACGGCUGCUUGCACGAGAAAUUGACCCAUCACUAGAGAAAGCAAGAGUCGAAUUAAACCGAAUCUGCCAGCCAUUUAGCAGUGUUUUUCUUUCACAAUAAAUCAGUCAUAGUACUUUCUGCCAUGGCUUAUCAACCUUGUACACAUAGUUUGUAGACUUGAUUGAGUUUAAACUCCGAUCUUGUGUAAUAUUAUUUUUUAACAAUUUUUUUACCUAAAAUCAUCUAAAUAUAUAAAAGUACACGCAAUAACCAAAAUAUCAUGUUUGAAUAUUUUAAAAAGAUGUAAAAAUUGAAUUAGGUAUGAAGAAAGGGAAAAUUUUCCCGUAUUCUUUUUUUUAAAACAAAUUUUCCCGUCAAGCGAAGUCGAAUCUCGCUCCAGCGCCUGUGCCAAAACGGCCACCCAAGAGAAGUCGAAUCCCGUUCUCAGGCCCCAGCUUCAAAAUCCUGGCUCCACCGCUGCCGCCGGAUGAUCCCCAGCCGCUGCCGCCGCCUCCUGCCAACCUUCUCACAACCCAAUGUCCCGCUCCGCCGUAACCUGGCCGCCAACGCAGCGCUGCAGUGGCUGGACGACGAGCUCGCGUCGCUCGCGCUCCCCAAGCUCGACUCCUACGCGUGCGCAAGGCUCCUGCAGCGCUGCAUCGCUCGUGGUGACGCCCGCGCCGGCCGCGCCGUGCACGCGCGUGUCGUGCAGCGCGGAGGAGUGGCGCAGCUGGACACCUUCUGCGCCAACGUCCUCCUCAACCUCUACGCGAAGCUCGGCCCACUGGCCGCCGCGCGUAGGCUGUUCGACGGAAUGCCGGAGCGGAACAUGGUGUCCUUCGUCACGCUCGUGCAGGGCUACGCUCUGCGUGGGGGGUUUGAGGAGGCCGCGGGGCUGUUCCGAAGGCUGCAGAGGGAAGGCCACGAGGUGAACCAUUUCGUGCUCACCACGAUCCUGAAGGUGCUGGUCGCUAUGGAUGCUCCUGGGCUUACCUGCUGCAUCCACGCCUGUGCAUGCAAGUUGGGCCACGACAGGAACGCCUUUGUUGGGUCAUCGCUGAUUGAUGCCUACUCGCUUUGUGGGGCUGUCAGUCAUGCGAGGUGCGUGUUCGAUGGGAUCAUCUGGAAGGAUGCUGUCACUUGGACGGCCAUGGUUUCUUGCUAUUCUGAGAAUGACAUACCAGAGGAUGCGCUUAAUACUUUCUCCAAAAUGAGGAUGGCAGGUGCCAAGCCUAAUCCGUUUGUGCUUACCAGUGUGCUCAAAGCUGCAGUUUGCCUGUCAUCUGCUGUGCUAGGCAAGGGCAUCCAUGGUUGCGCAGUCAAAACACUUUGUGAUACUGAACCUCAUGUUGGUGGCGCCUUGCUUGACAUGUAUGCCAAAUGUGGAUACAUUGAGGAUGCCCGCACUGUUUUUGAGAUUAUUCCCCAUGACGAUGUCAUACUCUGGAGCUUUCUGAUAUCCCGUUAUGCUCAGAGCUAUCAGAAUGAACAGGCAUUUGAGAUGUUCCUCAGAAUGAUGCGGUCUUCUGUUGUGCCAAAUGAGUUUAGUUUGUCCGGUGUUCUGCAGGCUUGUGCUAAUGUCGCCUUUUUGGAUCUGGGCCAGCAAAUUCAUAACCUUGUUAUAAAGUUAGGCUAUGAGUCUGAACUAUUUGUUGGCAAUGCACUAAUGGAUGUGUAUGCGAAAUGCAGAAAUAUGGAAAAUUCACUUGAGAUCUUCAGGUCAUUACGGGAUGCCAAUGAGGUGAGCUGGAACACAAUUAUUGUUGGCUACUGUCAGUCUGGUUUUGCAGAAGAUGCUUUGAGUGUGUUCCAGGAAAUGCGUGCUGCGCAUGUGCUCUCAACUCAAGUUACGUUCUCCAGUGUGCUCCGGGCUUGUGCAAAUACAGCAUCCAUCAAACAUACUGUCCAAAUUCACAGCUUGAUUGAGAAAUCCACAUUCAAUAAUGACACAAUUGUUUGCAAUUCACUGAUUGAUACAUAUGCCAAGUGUGGAUGCAUUAGGGACGCUCUGAAGGUAUUUGAAUCUAUAAUACAAUGUGAUGUAGUUUCAUGGAAUGCCAUAAUCUCAGGAUAUGCUCUCCAUGGACGAGCCACAGAUGCUCUGGAACUUUUCAACAGGAUGAAUAAAAGUGAUACAAAGCCAAAUGAUGUCACUUUUGUUGCUCUUCUGUCCGUCUGCGGUAGCACAGGCUUAGUCAAUCAAGGACUCUCUCUGUUUAACUCUAUGACGAUGGACCAUAGAAUCAAACCAUCUAUGGAUCAUUACACUUGCAUUGUUAGGCUUCUGGGACGUGCUGGCCGUCUAAAUGAUGCUUUAAAGUUUAUUGGGGAUAUUCCUUCAACACCAUCUCCUAUGGUUUGGCGAGCUUUGCUUAGCUCAUGUGUAGUUCAUAAGAAUGUAGCUCUGGGAAAAUUUUCAGCAGAGAAGGUGCUUGAGAUUGAACCACAGGACGAGACAACCUAUGUAUUACUGUCAAAUAUGUAUGCUGCAGCCGGAAUUUUGGAUCAAGUUGCUCUUUUGAGGAAAUCAAUGAGAAACAUAGGUGUAAAGAAAGAGGUUGGUCUUAGUUGGGUUGAGAUCAAGGGGGAAGUUCAUGCCUUUUCAGUGGGAUCAGCAGAUCAUCCAGAUAUGCGGAUAAUAAAUGCAAUGCUGGAAUGGCUAAACCUGAAGGCUAGUAGGGAAGGUUAUGUUCCAGACAUAAAUGUAGUAUUGCAUGACGUGGAUGAGGAAGAAAAAGCUCGCAUGCUAUGGGUCCAUAGUGAGAGGCUGGCUUUAGCAUAUGGCCUUUCUAUGACACCUCCUGGCCAUCCAAUACGGAUAAUGAAGAAUUUGCGUUCCUGCUUGGACUGCCAUACCGUGUUUAAGGUUAUAUCUAAAAUAGUUCAACGGGAAAUCGUCGUUAGAGAUAUCAAUCGCUUUCACCAUUUUGAUGAAGGAAUAUGCUCCUGUGGUGAUUAUUGGUGAUGUUCUAUCAUUCAUUGGUUUAUUUGAACAUAGGAUAGCAUAUCCUAUAUAGUGCUACCAGUACAAUUUUGUAGGAAAGCUUCUUUCCAUGACAAGAUCUCCAAAAUAUACAUGCAUACUUGAUUUUCUGGAUGAACUAUUCUGAAGAUGAUAUGUUGCUUGAUCUGAAGAGUACUGCUGCUGAUGUCCUGUUUGGCAAAAAGUGGUGGAGACCAUGUCUUGGCAAUAGCACUGGAGCUCGCUACCAGUGCAGCUCCCAUGCCUCCGCCACCUGUCUUUGCUCCCAUCGCUGACUCCUACUAUCUCUGGCCCCACCACAGCCUCUGCAGUCUCUGGACCCACCGCUGCUUGCAGAUCCAUCCUGGAUUUUUGAUUCGCUGCAGUGACCAUCACUGUGGCAUUAAGGACGACGAGGCUGAGUUAACAAUGCUGCUGUGAUACUUGCAAUGGGGGAGCUUAAUGAGCGGUUAAUAAAUCAUCUGGGCUAUUACAUCUGCAGUUAUGCAUAGGGAUACAUUUAGAGUAGCUCUCAGCUAAUGAUAUGCUGUUUCUUUCUGCUAUAACGGUAUAACCAUAAGUUGCUGUUGCUGCUUUAAUUUUUGAGGUUCAAAGAAGUCCAAUGGCUGAGACUACAAGGGAGGCAGUUCGUAAACUGGAACUUGAGGUAGUGUCUUUCACUCGAUGCCAUUUCUCUUCUGUCUUAGAUUUUGAACUCAUACAAAUAUUCUAUGGUAACUGACCUUAUUCGCUACUCCAUUAGAGCACAGGAGAAUCAUGAAAUGUAAUGUCUCCCUAUCAUGUAGCCAGAGAAACAAAAAUAUUCGGGCAGUUUUAGUUUUGGAGAUACCUGGAUAUCUGAGAAUAUUGCAUAAGAAUUAAUUAACGUCUUUAGUGUAGUUCUCCUGUCAGAAAUUGAUCAUGAUCUAACCUAAUACUAUUACUAUAUCAUAUGAUCGUCGUGAAUGCACUGCUCGCAUUAUAUUGGCCCUUUUUAUGUGCUAGAGCCUGGAAUAUAGUUGGCUUUAAGGACAGUGAUAUUGAAGUCGUCUGGGUGAUGGAUCAAUUAAAAGCUAUUUCACAGCACUGUCAAAUGCACUAAGCACUACUGUAUAUGUGAGCUACCAUCAGGAGUUUGUUGUGUUAAAAGAAUCAACUGUUUCUGAAUGCUGGACAGAAUCUCUCUCUCUUUUUUUUUUAGAAACAUGACAGAAUCUAUUCAGGCUUCUCCAGCUUUAUCAUUUCCUUUUACCACCUCACCGCAGCCUCACUUAACUAAUCUGCAGUUUCAUGCCUUACCUAUAUUUAUUUUAACGAUCUGUUGUUUCAAAUUAGGCCUUAUGAUAUGUUGUUUAUCAUGAAGAUGAUGGUGCCUCACUAGAUAAUGGAACUGCCUUUAAUGGUGCUUAGCUUGGAGCCUGUUGAUGGCAACAAAAUGGUUCUACAUGAUUGUGCAAAGGUAUUCUCGACUGUUGUCUGUCAUUAUUGUUAAGUAUUUUGAUCACUUACACUAUGGUGGCCAUGUGGUUCUGCGACCUUGGCAGCAACACUGCUGCACCUCUUAGUCCCUACCUCAAGCUCUUCGUAAGUGGAGCUAAUAAAUCCUAUAAUAUUUUUAGAGUUAUAGGGCCAAGUCCCUGCCUUAACCAAGACAAAAAACGUUUUACAGCAUCUAGAUAGAUGGACCACAUCUUACCGUCUAGAAAAGAAAACAUAAACAGUUUAGAACCCAACUAGAAACAUUUCACGAAACCAGAACCCAGCCUCGCUCACAUCUCCCAGGAUACCCAUAGCCUUGAAGGAUGCACCUCUUCUGCUUCGGCCGGCAGGAAGUUGUCUUUCCAGUUUGUAGCGUUCUGAAAUAAGAAGCUUCUCCCUGUGUUCUAUUGCAUCAGCAAGUAAAUCUUGCUGGGCUUGCUGCAAUUCUUCUCAGGCCUUGUUUAGUUCACCACAAAAACCAAAAACUUUUCAAGAUUCUCCAUCACAUCGAAUCUUGCGACACAUGCAUGGAGCACUAAAUAUAAACGAAAAUAAAAACUAAUUGCACAGUUUACAUGUAAAUCGUGAGAUGAAUCUUUUAAGCCUAGUUACUCCAUGAUUGGACAAUAUUUAUCAAAUAAAAACGAAAAUGCUACAGUCCUGAAAACCAAAAAAAUUUGGGAACUAAACAAGGCCUCAGUUUGGCAAGUUUAGAGUUGAACUCUGAAUGUUGGUCCGGUGGGCAGAGUACCAAUCACCCCAGUCCUGAGCCAUGACUGCAAUUUUCAGAAGCAAGGACUUCAAAUCGUUUCAUGUACUCCUGAAAAAACAAACCGUUCCUUAGUUUCCAAAGCUCCCACCGGGCUGCAGCAGAGAAGAUAUUAGCAACUACAAGCUUUUUGACGUUCGCCGUGACAUGUGGUUGACAUUUUCAAUUAGAAGAACAAGUAAACAUAUUCCACACACCAUCUUGUCGCUACAUGUUCCAUUCCUUGCAUCUUUAAUUACUGCACCUACUAAUCAUAUAGGAAAAGAAUGAUACAACAAAAUAUGUAUUUAUAUACGUGCAAGGAAUUCGUGUCAUUUCUAACUAUAUAUAUGUCCAGUUUUACAUCUGAACUUUUUGAGUGACUGGCUUCAUGCCUUUUUGCCAGGAGUUGUAUCGUUGUAUCCAAUGCCCUUCCGUUUUGUUGGGAAGAUCAUGUAGACAAAGCUUGAUAGGAAGGCCAUCCCUAGAGGCAGGUUCUUGAGAAGCUCGCUGGUGUUGUUGCUAGCGUUGGGGAAGAAGCACCUCUGGAGGCCAGCGUCGCUGAACGCCACGGUGAGGAACACCACGGCAGCAACGACGGCGUGCACGUAGUCCAGCGGCUGAAGGCGCAGUUUCUGGAGCUCGCCGAGCGCCCACUCCCGCUCCUCCUCCUCGCCCGAGAAGUUGAAGACGUUGAACCCGUGCGGCGUCGCCACGCCGUAGUAGAGCUUGCUGUCUCGGCCGACGACGCUGUCGGUGAAGGAGAAGAGGAGGGAGAAGGCGGCGAGGACGGCGACCAGCGUGGCCGUGAGCCACUUGUUGGCGGGAAGGCACGUCCCAUGGUUGGUGUUGGUGAAGGACGGGGACAGCGCCUGGUACGCCAGCACCGUGCCCGUCGGAAGGAGCUGUGCCAGGUUCGCCGCGCUUGACAUCACCUUGUCCGCCGCUGUCCGGUUGGCUGCCAUGGUUGUAGAGCCGUCAUCCGCACCCUUUGGCAUCGCCGGCGGUACUCUGUCGUCGUUGGUCUGAGAUGUCAUCUGGAUCACGGUGACCGAAGGAGGAAGAGAUGCCAUUAAUGUACUCUUACUACGUAACAUGUGUGCUGGGUCUAGGUGUAGUACUUCUCUGGACUCUGGAAUCUGGAUCGCGCGUGUGGUCUUGUUCAUUCGUGCGGGAGAGUUGAUGUUUAUUAUAGGUGAAUCCUUGUGGAAGUUUGGCGCGUUGAUUUGUCUGCUACUCACAUAUGUUCAAGAAUGAAUGGACAUGCAGGAACUUUCUGCUACUACUGGUCAACCGGCCCUAACUUGAAAUCUGCUUGAAUACGAUAUCUGUGCUAGGCGAGAUCUUUCCUUGGAAUUACCUCAUGACAAUAAAUUUUACAAGAUGUUUUUAAGUAAAUUUAUACAUACACACACAAUUCUUCAAUAUAGCAAUUUUAAUAUUUCGAGUGUCAUGGUUCCCAUCUGAAAUGAUUGCUUAUAACAUUGUAGUCAUUAAUUAAAAGUGUAGCCUGCUAGGGCCUGUAAUGUUUUUAGUAAAAAAAAAAAUUGAACAAAUGUACAAUAAACACUAGAGUUGAACGUAACAUGUGAAUAAAAAGAACAGCAACUACCAAUAAGAUCAAAAGUGGAAAGCUAACAUACACAAGUGCUUAUAUAACUUGUCUUUUAACUAAAUAUGUAUCAUGCUAGAGAAAAAAUCCUAAAUAUUUUGACUAGAUGUCCACAGUGGAGCCUCCAUGUUAAUUGUUAUGGGAUAUGCCAAAAAAAAACAAGAUAAAUUAUAGGAAUUCUCACAAAAAAUCAGAAAAUAUACGACCAUUUAUACUAUGAUUGUACUUUAUUUAAAAGUGCAGCUUAUGACAUGAAAUAUUUAUUUUUCAUAAAAUCCAAAGGAGUUAACAAAGAUACAUUAAGCACAAGGGUGUAAACUUAAAUUAAUGAGAGAAAAAUCCGUAUCAAUUGAUAAGAUCCAAAUUGAAAAUAUCAAAAUCUAGAUUGGUGCCGCCGUUUGUUAUGUCUCCUAAUAAGAUUCUAGCGCAUACAAAAGCACAGGUUAAUGGACUAGUUCUAACAAAACAUAACAGGAUACAAACUAUAUAGAAUCAUUACCGCUUAAUUCAACAUUUCUAACGAACUGAAGUCAGAAAUAGUCAUAAGUACUACUAAUAAGUCAUUAACUCAUUUCCUUUUUGAAAUUGACGUCGUCGCAAUGGCACUACGUGGCUUUCAAUUGCUCGAUUCUAUCAGCUACUAGUAUAAUAUAGCGAUGUGGAAACGAAAGGUAAAAAUAAGGAAGCGUCGUACGUUGUGAACACUUGAAAGCAAGGUUGUGGUGUGGACUUGUGGCUAGCACGAGGCCAGCGGCCCAUCGUCACCUUUGACUGGAUCCUUCCUCGCCGCGCGCCACCGUCUCCGACGUCUUCGGAAAGGCUCCACGGUCGUCGCAGGUCACCAUUGAAGGACGCGUGCGUGUACACCGCCGAGUACUACUACUACUACCGAGUUUUCUUUGGUCCAAGCCUCCUGCACUGAACGGCUGGCCACACCACACGCACCACGCGCACGUACGUUGGUUGACUAGUUAUCAGUUUACUAGUAAGUACUCCCUCACUUGUGGGACAAGAGUGUAUUGCAUUUGAGAUGUGUCUUUGAGAAGCAAAAAAAAAAUAUUUAAAUAAAGUUAUGGAAGAAAAAAAUAAUUAAGUGUUUACCAUAUUUUUUUAUAAAAAAACUUAGAUUAUACUCUUUAAUCAUACGGAUAGGAUUAGAUUUUAAUAAAUUAGAAAGUUAUAAGUAAAAAGGUACAUGUGUCUAUUGUUCUCUCUCUUAUUUUAUCUUAACAUACUGUAUUGCAUUGCAGGAUGGAGGUCUUGCUUGACUGAUAAGGCAUGGUUGAAAGUACUGUUCGUUGACUUUUUGUAAAAGAAAAAUAUUGCUGAAUGACCGACAAUUUUACUACAGUUGGACCGAUCGAGAAAGGUUGAGUUGACUGAAUCCAUCGAUGCCGACGUUGGGCAUUGGAUUGGGAGAACCUGCACGGAAACAACGAAGCUCCUCCAAGGUCCGAUUUUUUUCCCUCCAAUUUCGCUGCAUUGUUUCAUCUGAAAGUCACGGUUUUUCAGCUUUUUCGAUGUUGCGAUUGGUUGCACGCACUGAUCGCUACCUGUUUUGUCGUCAGCUACCUGGGAUAUAUAUGACGAUCGGUAUGUGCAAUUGUGCAUCUGUGCGGCUGCUCAAUACUCCAUGCCAAACGAUUUGACGUCAGUUUUUGAGUAACGGAGAAUCCUUUCAUGUUAAAAAAUAAAUUUCCAUUUCAAACUAUUGUUUAUUUCUUUAUUAUUUAUUACUGCAUAUGAUCUCGCAGCAUGACGUGCGCUGAAAUAAAAAGGCUUGUCACACGUGUAGACACUGGUCUCACUGUAACGUGCAUGAGCACACAAACAUUGUAUAUAAAAUUAAAUGGAUCACAAAUCAAAAGUAACCACAACAAUCACGUCUCUGGUGUGCAACAUCUCCCAUGUAGAGUGUGUCAGUCAGAAGUAGUGCUCCAACACGCCUCACAGCGGCAACAAAAACGCCCGAAUGGGACGACCAUCUUUGGAAACAUUGUUACAACAAUCGAAAUAUUGUUAAGCGCAUUGCAUGUUGGUAAUGCAAGGAUGCAACGUCGUCAUGAAUCAUGAUGUUGCACCAAGGGUUUAUUGCUUUGGAAGAAUUUAUUAUCCUUUAGCCAAAGAAAAGCACAAAUCCACCAAAGUGAGUACGUACAAUCCACUGAUACCACUUCAACCAUAUUUCUCAACAUCCAUUUCUUAAUGUGCUUGGAUGCCAUACAUUUCUUAAAGUUCUUGGAUGUGUCUUGGUGACAUUCGGUUGUUUUGGUCCCUCCUAACAACCGAAUUUUGUGCAUGUAUUUAUAUUGUCUUUUAACUAUUUUUACACUGUCUAAUGAUUUCUUCAAUGUAAUUUAUUAGAAAAUGAUGUAAUUUGAGGAUAACAAAACUUCAAUGUUCAAAAAAAUUUCAAUUUAUUUGUAUAAAUCACAGAUAUAAAAAUAUAUAUAUCAAAUUAUUCACAAAAUUUAUAAAUUAUUUCUAUGAAUUACACAAUAAAAAUAUAUGUCAAAUUGUUCACAAAUGUUAAAUACCAUAUACAACCCCCACUAGCUAGUCCCUACAUGUCCCUGUGUCUUUUCUCGACCAGAUUAAAUAGCGAACGUCCAUUGAAAUGGAUCCUGGCGAUCAAAUUUCUGACAUACUUUUAUUUCCGUUUUUAGAAAAAAAAACUAAUUCCACUUUUACCUAUUUUGAACGGCGCGGGCGUGCUUCAUUAUCUUUUGGGUUCUCCGUUCCACACACCCUCAUCCCCCGUAGGCUGAUGUCAGCGCUGACGCAUGCAGAGAAAAAGAAAAUAUUUAUUUUAAAUUACUAUAACUUUUGAAUGGUAAAUUUAUUUUUAAUUUUGUCUGCACCAGUGUGUUCUACACGAUAAGAUGAAUAAAACUAGAUCCCACUUGUAUGUAUUUGAAAGAUUUUUUCUAGUAAUAAUUUAUGCGUACUAACUUAUAAUAUAUAACUUAUGUGAAAAACAUAAACUCAAGAGUUAUCAAAACACAACUUAUUUACGAAGAGUUAUUAAACAUAAAUGAACGAUCCCGUCGUGUUCUACGCGACGAGACGAACAAAAAUAGAUCCUAAUUGCAUUUAUUUUCAAAAAAAUAUUUUAGUAGCAAUUUAUGUGUACUAACUUAUAACACAUAAGUUGAGUACAAAAGUUAUAUGAAAUAAGACAAGUUAUAUAGAACUACCUAUGUACAGAAGUUAUUAAACACAAAAGAAUAAAUUAAACUUAUAGCUUAUGCCAGUGCAAACAUAAAAAGUUAUUAACGCACAAGGGAAAGAGUUAACUUAUAACUUAUACUACAAUUUAGAAACACAAAAGUUAUAAAACACAAUUUAUGUACAUAAUUUUUUCGUAUAACUUGUGCAACUAAGUUAUAGUUAUAACUUAUAUGUUAUAACUUAUAUGUUAUAAGUACUUAGUACAGAUAAAUUAUACUAAAAUAAAGUUUUUCAAAACAUAUAUAAGUGGGAUCUAGUUUUGUUUGUCUCGUCGCGUAGAAAACACCGGUGCAGACAGAAUUGAAAAUGGAUAAACCGUUUAAAAGUUAUAGCAAAUUUAAAUAAAUGUUUCGCUUUUUAAAAGUGGCGUCAGCACGAAAUCAGCGGAUGCCCCUACACUAUGUCAGAGUUAAAUCGUUUCGUUGAGUUCAUUUUAAAUGAACGACCGCUGUAGUGGAAUUAGGCUUUUGGAGCCCGAAUUGUCUACGCCUGGUGCCACCACUAUCGUUUCACAGAGAAUCAUGUUGGUGCAUGUCACAGCCCGUGAGGGAUCGUGGCAUCGUGCCUGUGCAGGUGCCAAAUCCAACGACCUAGAAUUCAGUUGCCGCAUGAAACCAAAACAACCGGUUGAUAAAUAGCAAUUCUGUUCUUAAAUGAUGCAGUAUUUUCCAAACAUGUAUAUAUUUAUAAAUGAACGAAAACUUACACAUAUCAAACUAACAUGUACCUAUAUAUUACCUACAUAUACAAGUAUAUAUAAAACCUAAUUAAGUUUCCCUGCAAAAGAAUAAGCGCAAAAUCUAUAAUUCUGAAAGGAACAAACUAAUAAACCAAUAUAUAUAUACGGGCCGGUAAUAUAAUGUACAAAACUGUAUCACACAUUCUAAAUUUUGAAUUGUAUUCGAACCAUCUGUAUCCUAAUUAAGACGUACGAACCAUAUGAGAACUUUUGAAACACCGGCCCCUCAUUCUCAUGUUGCUGUUGCCUUUUGGUGCGGAGUGGUGUCGUUGUAUCCGAUGCCCUUCCUUGUGGUCGGGAAGAUCAAGAACACGAAGCUCGACAGGAACGCCGUCCCGAGCGGGAGAUUCUUGAGAAGCUCGUUGGUAUUUUCACCAGCGCCAGGGAAGAAGCACUUCUGCAGCCCGACGUCGCUGAACGCGACGGUGACGAACACGACGGCGGCGAAGAAGGCGUGCACGUAGUCGAGCGGGCGGAGCCGGAGCCGCCGGAGCUGGCCGAGCGCCCACUCCCGCUCCUCCUCCUCGCCGGAGAAGUUGAACACGUUGAACCCGCGCGGCGUCGCCACGCCGUAGUAGAGCUUGCCGUCGCGGCCCACGACGCUGUCCGUGAAGGAGAAGAAGAGGGAGAAGCCCGCCAGGACGCCCACCAGGACCGCCGUCAGCCACUGGUUGGCCGCCGUGCAGGCGCCGUGGUUGGUGAAGGACGGCGACAGCGCCUGGUACGCGAGCACCGUGCCAGUCGGCAGCAGCUGCGCUAGGUUGGACGCGCUUGCCAUCACCUUGUCUGCUGUUGUCCCGGUGCCUGCUGCUGCUGCCAUCACCGGCAUGAUCGUCGUUGUUGGUGAUGAGUCGUCGUCGGCUCCGCCACCCAGCUUGGGCGUCGGCGGUGCUGCUACUAUGCCGUUGUUGUUGGUCUGCGGCGAAGACAUCUGGAUCACGGUAGACGGCUGAGGAGAAGAUGCCAUCGUUGGUCUGUUUGGGGUUUCUCAACGUGAUGAGUAGAGUCCAUUCUCGUACGGUCGAGUAGCUGCUUAUAUAGGACAUUAUCAUCGUGGAAUAAUUCCAAGGUUAGCCAGCGCGUUGAUUUGUCUACUUGAAUUGAAAGGUCUUGUUUUGUUGUGAAGAAGAAGGGCUAUAGUUGCAUGGACUUCAACUGCGCCCAAGCACGGUCAUACUCAUGCUCAUUCAUCAUCCCUUGAUAGUCACGAUAUUUUCCAACAACCAUGCAUCCUACAUGGAAUUCUCUCCAGAUUUUUUUUAUUUUUGACUUGCAGUCUACAGUGGCUUGCAAAAUGACGUUUUAUAUAUCAUGCUACGAAUGCCUUAUAUAUUAUAGGAACGUGAGGAAGAGGGAGAGAGACCUGCAAGAAGAGGAUAAUCUCCAAUUUCAACUUGUCAAUUUUAUUUCUCAUGAAAAUAGCAUAUGACCAAACGAUCAAAGUACUCCAAGACUACACCUUUGUCAUAUAUAUUUCAUAUAUCACAUUUGAUAGAUCGAGACUAGACAAUCACGUACUACUGCCGAUCGAGGUUGAUGCAUGCGAUUCUGGAAGUUAAAUGAUAACAUGAACAAUAACCUAACUAUAUUCGUUUAUUUCAGUGUAUACAAUUUGAGUAAUUGUAUGUAGAUGAAAAUCUAUCAAGUUUGACUUUACUAAAUCCCAAUAAAUCCUAUACUUUGAAACAAAUAAAACGCGUGGUAAUAUAAGACGACACACGUGAUUUAUUUAAUAGUCAAGUCUACAGUGCGAGUCAUCAAGGCAAACAUCCACUAUUAGCUGUUCGCACGGCAAGGACGAAUGGACGACGAUAUGUCCCCGGCCGUUUUGUACGCAUGGGAAAAGAAAUGGCAGCUAGCGAGACACUCCAGCACGGUAAGCAACGACCAGCACGAGCGCGCGGCUGGCCCCAAGAAACGGUCGCCGGUGGAGGAUGUGCCAAUGGCCGACGUGGCCGGAUGAUUUACAAGGCCACCUGCAGACAUCUGCGGGUGCUCUAAGCAAGUUAAUUAGCGAGCGGACCUCAAGCCGUUCAAAGUGUGUAGUGCAAAGGACGCAGCUACAGCGAGUGGACCGCCGUUCCGUUGCUAGUUGGUUGGACCUAGAAAAUCUCUCAAACCAACAUGGAGAGAAAGCUACCGUUUGUCCACAUCCAGUGAGUCCCACGUCUCAUGCACCUUUCCGGGCCCGACGACUUCUCAGCAUUGGUACGGUCGAUAUCCAUCCGUCACAACAACAUGUAUGGCGAUACAAUCGCAUCCAUUGGACAUGAACAUUUGUGGAGAGAUGAAGACACGCGCGUGGAAUUAAUUCAUGUGACGAGGCAUAAAAGGUUUCCUCCUAUUAGUAAUUCUACUUAUUUUUGAGGCAAAUUAAUAGAAUACCAUGGAAUGGUAGCAGCCAAGUUCUGUUUAUUUGGGCUGAAGUUUGAAGGUUUUGCCUGCCGCGGGGGGGGAUGCUCACUAUGGUUAUGUGGAGGCAGGCCAUGAUGAUUUCACUUUCGAUGUUGGGGAAGUGAGGGAGUGGACACGAGCGAACUAAGAGCAUAUGUACCAGUUCCCCAAUAUAUACCACCUAUCAUUUUUAUAAAACAACUAUCAUAUUGGGGGAGAUGAUGUUUUAUUUUUCUAGAAUACACAAAAGAUUUGCGCAUCCUUGUAUUAAGGAGAGAAGUUCAAACAAACAUACGACAAGCUUCUAUCAAGCGCCAUAGGAGGUCGACGUAACAUAGCCAAAGCUAGACCAUCCUAGCAAAAGACCUCAUGUUUAGGAAAAGCCUGUGUUUUCACAGCUGCCUAGAUAGUGACUUUCCAAUGGCUAGGAAGAGCUCAUCCAAUACCUCGGAUUCGGUCAUAGUCAUGCUGCCGUAGAAGAGCCUAUCAAAAGUCUCCAACUCCAAAACAGAUAGUGCAGAUGGACCCUCGAUUCACAUGAAUAGAAGGUGAGCUUGAGAAUACCAACUAUAGAUUUCCAAACGGGCGGCCCGACCCUAACCUGGCCCAGGCACUAUUUGGCCCGGCCCUAUCGUGUCGUGCCUUGUUGGGCCGUCGUGCCAGCCGUGCCGUGCCGAAUAGGGCUAUCGUGCCCAACCCUUGGCCCAGGCACGACCCUAUGGAGACUUGAUCGUGCCGUGCCGUGCCGAAGGCCCAUCGGGCCUCCCAGGCCCGUCGUGCCGCCACUGCUCGUAGACGCUGAUGGAGGCGCGUCGUCGCUACUCGUCGAGGACGCGCCACCGCCUUAGCCAUGGACCCGCAUCGCGCGCGCCUACACGAGGAUGUGCAGCCGCCUCAGCCGCGCCUCAUCGUCUCCACGCCGCCGAGCCACUCCUCGCGUCGUCAUCGUCGCUGCAGCAGUGCUGCAGCUGUUGCUUGCGCGCGCCGCCACCGUGGCUUCGCCUUGAGAAGAAGAUGAGUGGGGGAGGAGAGUGGCCUUGGAUUUGAGCCUCUGAGAGGCUUCUGCGAAAUGCGUCGGCACUCGUGAAGUCGGCAUCAGGAGUUCGGGACGGGAGGAACAGGGAGAAAAAAGAACGACGGCUAGGUGAAAAGAAUGAGAGAAAGUGGCUUUUAUACCUAGGUUAGAGAAGUUCUAAGUCAAUCCAACGGCUAGAAAUAGUAGAAAUCAAUUUAACGAAUAAAAAUAAUCGGGCCACUAUCGUGCCGGCCUAUUAAUCGUGUCGUGCCCGUGCCGUGCUGUCGGGCCAGACCUUCGGCCCAGGCACGGCACUACGUCGUGCCCGUGCCGGCACUGGCACUAUGAGCUUCGUGCCCGUGCCGUGUUAGUGUCGUGCUUUUUCGGACCGUGCCCGUGCCGGCCCAUCGUGCCUGGCCCAUUUGGAAAUCUAUAAUACCAACAUGAUAUCGUGAACCGAUGGACGACAAAAUUAGUCUCGUCUGCAUGCGGCGAGGAUGAGUGAUGACGUUGCCUGUGUGGCAGACUGGUGGUCCUUGUAAUUUAAGGACUAGCUUGUUCGUUUGAGCUUAUGAGCCAAAUCUGACAGCCAUUCAACAAUAUUUUUCUCUCACAGCAAAUCAGCCAAUAGUACUUUCUGCUAUAACUUAUCAGCCAAACGAAGAGGUGUGGACCUACUCACAUAGUUACAUGAGCUCUGUUUGAGAGUGGCUUGUGGCGACGCCAUGACAGCGAGCACACAUCAUACCGUUGCCGAACCUCAUGGAGUCAUGAAAACAGAAGUAACAAGAACCGAUGAUCGGCUACACUAUCCUAUGGCGGUAUGAACAAGGCGUUGGCAGAGGUAGUGGCACGCUGCUAGUGGUAGAAUUAGUCUAUUCCACUAGCACUUGGCAGGAAUCACGGUACUUGUUGACCUGUCGGUGGACCAAGCCACGCCGUUGUUGUGACUCGGGCUAGUAGUUUGUCUUAGUGCCUACUAUCCUAAAAUGAGAGCCUCUGGCAGAUAGAGAACUCAUCUUGCAUAGGUUUCAAUGGUUGUUGUAGCUACUCGAUGUAGCCCACUAUAAGUAGUGGGAGCUCAUACGGACCUUGAGCUUUUGGUGAGCUUUACACACGUCGGGGUCCUUAGAGGUUGGAAUGUUGCGUAGAAGAAGAGCAGCAGCAACAACUACUACUAAAAACUAGCUUGUGUGGGGCCAAAGACAUGCAUAUCUUUGCAGCGUUAGCAAUGUCAUUGUGGACCUAGUGAUCGUAUGGUUAGCACCACAGCAAGGACCAAGUAGGCACUCUAGCUUUGUCUAUUCGUGUGCAAGCCGCAUUCCAGCCGACCUCUAGGUUGAUUUGUUCAUCCUUGAGGCAGUCAGCCUUCUCACAAAGGUAGGCCUCUUGAGGCUCAAAGGUUCUAUGGAUUUGUGAAGUGUUUUGGCUCCUCUGCCCUAUUACUGCCACUCUCUUUCACAAGGUAUACCAUGUUGAACUCAUGGGAGGGGUGGUAGUUCCCUAUGCCCUCAACCUUGGAAGUAGAGUUGUUGCCGAAGGAUUCCUCCAAGAGGUCGUGGAUGAACGUCGGUACAUUUUUUUAGAUAAAGGAAAUUGAUAUUUCCAGCUUUAGUCAUCCUCACACGAGGAUUACAUCCGGCCAAAUUAUUACAUUAGAUGUACAGUGAAAUAGGUAAGGCCUACGUCACCUGAGUACACUGGAUCAACUGAAACAAAACUGACAAAAAAAAUUACAUCUCCAAUAAGGAACUAUGACUUGCACUGAUAAGACCACCAAGUCAUUAAUCGACAUCAAGACACGUCUAGCAGACCUAAAGGAUACUAAAAGAACGUAGGACGCCGACCGCCAUUGGGGAUUCCGGAUACUGUAAGCUGGCAACGGAACAAAGCUCCUGGUGCACCUGCAAGGGACAUACCAAUACCAGUUUGGAACCAAAGCAUGUGAUCAUCCAAAAGUGACGUCUCCAACGAGCAUAUGACAUCCAAAGAUGCCAUCAUGACCCACCAGAAACACCGGUGUUGGGUUUUCACCCGAGAGUGACGCCUCCAGCGAGGAAAGUGGCACACACAGGCGUCACCGCCAUCUAAACAUGGUAGCACUGCCACUACCUCCACGAGCCAUUCUGUUACGCCAAACACCAGCGACAUAAGCAUCACUAGAUCAAUCCAUCAAAUCCGGAGAGCUGAGUUCCACCAACUAGACGCCCAUUGCAGACGACGAAGCCAUCUCCAAUGUGGACGCCUUCUCCUGCCCUUGACCGCCGCCGAAGCUGCCUAGGCCGCUUGCCGCCGACGCGACGAUAAAGUCAUGUGGGAGGGCAGGUAACACCCCCCUCUAGCCUGCACGAACCACCGCCGCCAUUGUUGCAACCGCAAUUAGCAGCCACCGGCAUUGGCUGCCACCAACUCCGGCAGCCUAGGCACAGUGACGUUGGAUCAGCGACCACGUCGUUCACCGCCGCCGCCGCACCCAGAUCCGCCCAUCACUGCCACUGCACCCACAACCGUCCAUGAUGACGGUGGAUCGGCGACCAAGUCGCUCACCGCCGCCGCCGCAUCUAGAUCCGCCCAUCGCCGCCGUCACACCAACAUCCGUCCACGACGACGGUGGAUCGGCGACCAAGUCGCUCACCGCCGCCGCCGCACGCGGAUCCUCCCAACCUCCUGCGCUCCACCCAUCGCCGCGUCCGCCCCACCUCCAAGCCAUGGCCAGGCGCCACACUGCUGCGCCUUCGCGAGCUCUUGGCCGGUGCCGCCGCAAACACGAGCGGCACCCUCGUCGUGCCCCGUGCAGCACCGGCGAGGCACCCCCCGAAUCACGACUAACCAGCGCCGCCACUCCACCAGACAGGGCCCCGCCGCCACCAUCAUGGCCGGCUUCCGGCUCCGGCGGCGGCGAAGCGGAGGGGGCGGGGAGGGGAAGUGGCGGCGCGUUAGGGUUUGGGGAAAGACCUAGCUUAUAUUAUGUCGUCCCGACAAACAUAGAGUUAUAUUUAGGUGAUCUAAUUCCUCUCACUUGAAGAUAAUAGAGUAGGAUGUUAAGUCAGGGGCUGAUCUAUAUAGUGACUUGUGGGUUAUGGCUAAAUCUUCAGUAUAUUCAUACCUUCAAGAUAAAAAUAUACAUACUCAGAAGACAAGUGCAUCCAUCUUGAAUUUUGUUCUAGUUGCUCUGCCUUUGUGUUAAGUUCCAUUAUUAUUAUCUUGACAAGAAAAUCUUAGGUUCUAAUAAAACGAUUUUAAGCAUGAACAUAUCGUGACUUGACCAAGCCAGAAUCACGGUUGUUUUCAAAUCAAACAAUAAUAAUGCUUGAAACUCUCACACAAUAACAUACCCUUUUUACUAUUAUUGUUCCAACAAACUAUCACACCAGCAAGAGUGCAAGACUAUAUAUAUAAUAUGAUUCACAUAAACCGAUGAUUCUAUCCACCUCCACCGUACCAGCACACACCUAGAAGCUAGUAGCCCAUCAAGAAUAGCUGCACUCGAUCUUGCGGCCUUUCUUGUUGGCGCAGUAGUCGGAGAUCAUGUACUUCCUCUUGACGCCCUCGUAGGCCGCCCGCUGCUGCGGGGUGAGGUCCCGGUAGCCGCCGCCGUUCCACCACAGGGCCGGCGAGUCGCACGGCGUCGCGCUGCCCGUGGCGCAGCCGUCGACGUCGAAUCCCUGGUACCCAGCCGUGAACGGUGCCUUGGACCAGUCCACCUUGGUUCGCCCGCCGUCCGUGGCCCAGGAGGAGCCGUCCCAGAUGCUCGCGCGGAUCAGCAUCGGCUUCGUUGGGAACUCGUACCCCGGCACGGUGCUCCUCAGGUUGCGCACCACCCGGAUCGGCGUCUCGUCCACGAACAUCCUGUGUGUGUGGAUUGCAUCGCAUUGCAUUGUUGACAUACACGCUAAUAAUACAAUGUGCCUAUAGCUAGCUUCUACGUACGUACGCCGAGACAGCCAUGGUUGUUUAUACGUACACGAGCUGGUAGGGGUUCCAGAGGAUCUUGUAGUCAUGGAAGUCGGCGGAAGGGUCGAACCAGAGGUGAAGCCGCUGCUCCCUCUGGCCGUGGCCGUUGACGAAGAAGUUGGUUUGGAGGGUGAUGGGCACGCCGGCCUUGUCGCCCAGGAACUCGAAGUCCACCUCGUCACGGGUGCCGUCUUCCGGCUCCGAAAUAAGCUACGACGACAAGAAGCACACGAUCGAUCUUCAUCGUUAUUAAUUUUAUUAGUGUGUGGUGGUGAUAAAAUGAAAUGAACAACAAGUUUAGUUAGUUUUGAUCCUCUCACGUAGAAGGUUGUGACGACGCCGGCCGUGUAGCCGGACGGCAGCUUCAUCCUCAAGUGGAAGAACCCUGACCCGUACGUGACCUUGGACUUGAACCCACCACCACGAGCCGCUGCACGAUCGAUCACGUACGGCAAUGUUAUAGCAACGUAACGUAACCAUGCAUGCAUGCAGGUACAUUACAUAUAUGCGUACCGGUGCUCUGAUCCAAGAUGAGAUCAACCUCAGUCCCGUGAUCGACCAGGCGCCCCCAGUCCUUCACAUAGUUGACGUCGAGCGGCAGCGCCGGCGCUGCCCCUGCUGCCGGCCACAAGCUAGCACCCCCGGCUAGGAGGACGACGACGAGGAGGAGAAGCCAUGCGCGCACCUCGGAAGCCAUCGCAAGAGCAGGCCCGGCCCAAUGCAAUAGAGACCGUACCUAUGCUAAUUGCUACCUCUUCUAACUUCUUUCUCUCGCACACCCCAAGCCCUGUUGCGAAGGUUCACCUCAGUCUCGCCGUUUUAUAGCUGCUAGGAUAUAUUAAUGCUAUAGGGUGAAAUUCAUGAUGCAUUAGUUACCAUUAGUGAGAUGUUUUAAGCUGGACUAAUGGUUGAUCAAUGGGUUACACGAAACGGACAAUUGAUUUGUCUAUUACGCACACACACACCAAGAGCAAAAUUUAGUUUUUACCCACUUUAUAAGAAGGUUGUUGCAUAUGGCAUACUUCAUCAGUCCCAAAUUAUAAGAUGGUUUGAAAUUUCUAGAUUCAUAGUACGUAUUUGCUUUGUAUUUAGACAUAAUAUAUAUCUACGUGCAUAGCAAAAGCUAUGAAUCUAGAAAAGUCAAAAUGUCUUAUAAUUUGGAAUAGAGGGAAUAGCGACAAUUAAAUGAUCUUUUUUCUAUGCAUAAGCACCUCCUCUAAUAAACCAUGCUCUAAUCAUAUUAUUCUCCAAGCACCCAUAUACCUGCCAGCGUCAAAAAAGCAUUCUAUUUCUAUCACAAAGUGAUAAUACUUGAGUUGUAUUCCCUUUGAUCAUGAAUAAGUGAUGUUUUAGGGUUAUAUAAAGUCAACUAUUAGGCUAGUUCCAUACUUCCAUAUUGUAUAUCAUAACCAUCUAUCGUUUAUCACAGCAUCAUGUAUGGUGAUAAAGCUUGGCACGAAAACUAACUUUUGAAAACCGCGCAUACAUAUAUUCUAGGGCUGUUGUCAUAGAAACAACUUAUACAAGAAUUAACUGAACUGUGAUUCAUAAGAAACAACACCAUGGUACUAUGAAUAGCAAGAGUUUUAUGAAUUGUGUUAAGAGUAUAUACAAAGCAUGCAUGCACGUCAUAUUAAGUUAUUUAUGCCUAGCAGACCCAUGCUUAAAUGGGCUUCGCCCGUUUGGCCAUCAUAGUCAAAGCACUAAGGUCUAGAACAUUGAGCAGGGAUAUGCUAUUCUUUAUCUAAUUUAAAUUGUGCUAUUUUAAAAAGAAAAAACCUAUAUGGUCACCAAAACACUUUUUUUGAAAGGUAAGACAAAGUCCGCAUAAAUUAAUAAGAUGAAGAGUUUUUGUGCUAGAGGCACAGCUGCAUCAAACCCAAAUUAGCAUACUGCUAUUGGGGUGGGGGGGGGGGUUAUAAAAAAUAAAGUAGCCAAAUACUAAGACUGUCAACUAACAACUAUAAAGGAUCUGCUCUUACUCGGCUCUGAUGCUUCGUCUUAGAACAAUUACGACCCAGAAGAAACAACUCCAAAGCCUACAUCAAAAACUAAACAGAACUCAAGACCUAAAUUAAAUGACUAAAAGCUAAUCUACUGUGUGCCGACAGAAAACUAACCAAAGAACACAUAUGGCUGCAACUAGAAACUCAUCGGAAACCUAAGCUUCAUCCUUAGUGACACAAGGCCUCAAUAGUAGUCUUAGAGUACUUCUCAUUGUUGUUGAGGCGGACUAUUGAAUGGAUUGUUGUGAUAGCCUCGACCGACAACGGUUCCUUACAAGAAACUAAGAAUAUUGCGGUCACGCUUCACCCACAAAUUCUUUAGGAUUGAUGAAGCUCAACUCGCGGGUCAAAUGGUGCUAAGGGAUUGGUAGCAAGGCAGCUACUAUAAUGUUGUGCCUUCACUAGCUUGGUGAAAUCAUUGGAGCUUAUUGCCUACAAACUUUUUUUGUUGGUUGCAAACUUUUGCUUACCUUAGAGGAGGACAACUUGAUCAAUAUUGGUGGAUGUGUUGUCAUGGGUAGCCAAAGGUGUAGCAUCAUUGGGAAGAGCAUGUAGGAUCCUCAUCAAAGAGAGGAGGACAUUUGCAUGGAGGAUCAAGCCAUAGAGUAGAACUCAUUAACCAUGGGGUCCAAUCUAGGAAGGCAAGGGUUAGUAGGAAGCACCUCAUCUUACUAUACCUUGUAGAAAUCAAGUAAUAUAGAUCCAGCUAGUGGUGUGGUAGAGAAGGCUCGUCAAGUUUCAUUUGCUCUUCACCCAAGGUACGUGCAGCAAGCCAGCCCUUUCUACGGACCUUGUAGACCAUGCCAUGCUAGUCCAUCUCCUAGGUAGCCACAGACAACAUCAUGCUAAUCGUCAACAGUGAGUGAGAGCAGUGGACUCCAAUGCAACAUGUUGCGGGGAGACUCGACUGUUAAGAAUGUGGAGGAGAACCAUGGUGGGGGCAGCCACUACCGCAACAAAGCCAAGUGUUGGCCCAUUCAAUGUGUGACCUCAAGGCGUAGGUCAUGAUUACUGUUGGAUGGGAGGGCACGUUGGUAGCAGGGGAGAAGGUAGCUCAGGGAAAGACAUAUGGUUGUGGAUGCUCGGAAGUGGCGGUGGCAUCAAUGCUAUCGGGAAGAGGAGAUAAUUGUGGAGUCUGUGGGUUGCAAUGGAAAUUGCAUGUCUUUAGAUGAACAAGAGCUUGCUUUGUGAUGGCCAAAGAAGAAACAUAAGAUGCACUUCCAGGUGUCAUGAAACUACACAAUUUGAUGGUCUGUGGCUAAGCAUAUGAAGCAACGACAUUGGAAAAGGCUGUGCACCAGGCAGUGGGUUUUUGAGCUUUUGUACCUGCAUUGGAGAUUCAUUUGUGUUGGGUUCGUCGGCUACAUCUUAUACCACUAAAUCCUCUUCCAAACCUCCUACCACAUUGGGGGAGGGAUUGGUUGUUGUGGAUCAAUCACAAUAGACUUGAGGCGCAGAGUGGUGGUAGGCUGCACACUGACACCAAAGCUUGCCAUCUUUGGCAGCUGCCAUCCUAUUGCAGAUGACCUCAUCGUCCUAGCAUGGCACUCCAUGUAGGCCAUGAACAGCCAUGAUAGAGGAGGUAUCGCUGAUGUUGGGGGCUUGAAUCUCCAUAUGGUGGUAACAGGGGCUACACCGCUCCAUCCCCCCUAGAGGUUGUUUUGGUUGUGUUUCUUUAUCUACGCUCAAUUGAGCCACUAGCACAAGUAGCUAGCCGAACACGUUGUCCUUGUCAUUGCUAGAUCCCAAAUAAUCUAUCUUCUCCAAGUUCUCAGCAUGAACAUCAAUGGGGGAAGGCUUGGGAGUGGGUGCGACUAUGAUAGUUCGCUAGCCAUCACAAAUGGGGAGGUCGACGAUGAGGUGGCAUGAGGAGUAGUAGGACACUCAUGCCCUCGCAUCCGUUCCCGCUCAUCUCGCUACCAAGGAAGACGCUUGGAUCCGGCAUCAUGGGUGGCUGCGCUGUCGUGACCUAGAGUGACAGCCAAGGCCAGGGAGCAAGGAGAACCCCCACGGUAAUAAGACCGGUGGAGGAACCAACUACCAGGCUGGGACACUCCAGUUGUAAUCGAUAUAUAGGAGGUCUAGGCAGCGGGUCAAGCUAGUUGAACCACUUUUUCUAUCUAAUAAUGACAUAAUAUUCAGUCCUAGAUAUUCAAGAGAAAAUGAGGAAAAGAGGGGGGGGGGUAGGGAGGGAGAAGGCAAGGGGAUUGUGCAAAAAACGCAUGUCACGCUAGCAUGCCACAUCCGUGAGGAUGAGCUGCUGAAGUAGUAUGAACAUAAGCUGCACGAAGACUUAUCUUUUGUGUGUGUGUAUAUAUAUAAUAUAAAUCGUGGAUUUAGUUUGACAUACAACGCCACUCGUAGCGCUUAUCAAGCGUAGUUGCACUCGAUGGGUACGGUGUUAUUGAACCUGGCCUUAUCGGCGCAGUAGUCGUAGUUGAAGUAAUUCCUCUUCACGUCCUCGUACGCCGCCCGCUGCUCCGCGGUGAUGUUCCGGUACUCGCCGCCGUUCCACCAGAGGUCCGGCGACUGGCACGGCGCCGUCGUCGCGCUCCCGUUGGCGCAGCCGCUGACGUCGAACCCCUGGUAGCCGGCGGUGAAGGGCCCCUGGGACCAGUCCACCUUGGUCCGUCCGCCGUCCGUCGCCCAGUCGGAGCCGUCCCACAUGCUCGCGCGGAUCAUCAUCGUCUUCUUCGCCGGGAACGGGUACCCCGGCACGGUGCCCGUCAGGUUCCUCAGCACCCGGACCGGCGUGUCGUCCACGAACAUCCUGCAGCGAAUUGCACCAACAAUUACGACUUAGCUUGCUGGGGUGGCAGAGACUGGCAGCUAGCGGCACCAUUUGGAACGCUAGCUAGGAUUAUUUGUGUUUCUUACGUACACGAGCUGGUAUGGGUUCCAGAGGAUCUUGUAGUCGUGGAAGUCGGCGGCGGGGUCGAACCAGAGGUGCAGCCGCUGCUCCCUGUCGCCGCGGCCAUUGACGAAGACGUUGGUCUGGAGGGUUAUCGGCACGCCGGCCUUGUCGCCCAGGAACUCGAAGUCCACCUCAUCACGGCUUCCAUCUUCCGGCUGCGAGAUAAGCUGGAAGAGAAGAUUAUUCACAAUUAAUCUGUGAUCAUCAGGAUCGAGCUAGCCUCCGAGAGAGAGAGAGGAGAUGCAUGCUUAGUGAGUGAUCAUCGAGCAAGCAGUACGCAUAUAUAUAUAUAUAUAUAUAUAUAUAUAUAUAUAUAUAUAUAUAUAUAUAUAUAUAUAUAUAAAACUUUCCCAUAUAUACACACACACUCACAUAGAAUGUUGUGACGACGCCGGCCGUGUAGCCGGAGGGCAGCUUCAUCCUCAUGUGGAAGAACCCUGAGCCGUACAUGGACUUGGACCGGAACCCGGCACCUGCGGCAAGCACACACGCGGCGCCGCCAUCACUCACAACACAAUUCUUAUCGCAGCAAGAACACGCAAACGUCUUCACGUACGUUGCACACACGUACGUACCAGAGCUCUGAUCCAUGGUGAUAUUAGCCUCCGUGCCCCGGAUGACAAGGUGAUAACCAUCUUCACCCCACUGCACCACGUAGUUCUCAUCGAACGCCGCCUCCGCCGCCGAGCCAGCGACGACUGCCGCCGCCAGGCAAAUGACGAGGACGGCAUCCCACGCGCACGCCUUGGAAGCCAUUGCAAAUAAAGCCGGCCAAGAGCCCAAGACCGAUCGCGACGACGACGACGAGAGGCGGCGCACCUCUCGAUCACCUGUCACGCCCUUUUAUAGCUGAUGAGACAUGAGAGGGGGAAGCUCUUGCAGUUGCACUAGCUACGUAUGCCGGAAACAAUUGUCAAGUGUGCUUUGUGCACACGCAUGGACUACCUCUCCCCUGUGCCGGCCUGCUGCAGUGCACAUCCCGUCUUCGCUGGCUCACCCACGCAAGCCUGAUUAUUUCGGCCAUGGAUCGUCCACGCACUCGCACAAGUUUUUUUUUUUGGGUGACUUUGCACUUGCGCAAGUUGUGCAUCAACUGCAUGUGUGUGUAGGCGGGGGCGUCGUUGUGGUGUGUACGUACGUGAUGCCGUUUUCCAUUAUGGGCGGCGUUGCUUGAUUAUCACAAACACUUCGUCUCUGCGUGGCUCUUAAAUUCGCUCGCGCCAACACAUAUCCAAGAUAUGCAUGGAUUUCGCACCUAUCAUCAGCCUGCACUUUUUAGGUAUGCGAGCAGAGUAGUAGUACUGAUCUGCCAGUACACGGCAGUCGGAGUCAACCAAAUUAUUGUGCUCGUGAUUGAUUCGCAGCCGUGACAGGCUGACAGCAACAUGAACGUAUACGCCCGCUAAUGGCUUCAACCACAGAUUGAUGUAGCUGACGUAAAUAGUUUUGGUGACCAAACCAGCCAACGCUUAUCACGCAUGUCGUCUUCCCAUCAAAUGACCUCAGUCAACCGCAGUCCGCAUGGGUGGUCUUGGAGACGAGCGAAAUCUUUGUGUGACAUUCACAGCAGCCUAUAGGUCUGAGGUUACCAACAUCAUCCAAUAUUAAUAAACCACCACACUGAACUAGUGAAGUCGUCGACAGAAAGAAGACGCCGCCGUGAUAUGUUUAAAACAACCCAGACCAGCCAAGAGAAGGUUUUGCCAAAAACUCAGGCCAGCGACCCGAAACGGCAAAAAGACACGACAGUGCAAUGUCAGCUGUCCUGUAUGCACGUGAUGCUCAUCAUAUCCAUUCCAUUUUCAACCAGUAUGAAUGGUUCAAGACAAGACUGAUGUCUCCAGCAAAAUUUGCAUAUAGACACUUGAAUGGCUAACCUAAAGAGUAAAGAGUUGACUAAUUCACCAAAAUUUUCUAUACAGGGAUAGAGCAUUGCUCUACCGCGACCUUAUUCUUCAACCUACUCGACAAAUAAGCAUCGAUCCUGUGUUAACUUGUGCAGAGGGAAACCGGUGCCACCUAAAAAUAAAUGUCUAUCUCCUUUUCGUGCAUCUCGAAUACAUGAUCCCGCGCCUCCGAAAGAGCAACCUGCAGUGGCUCAGAAUAAGACAUGAAUUGAAAUUAAAUAUGCAUUCAUACAUAACCAUUGAUCGAUGAAAUCAAACUAAACUAACCUGUCCAAAUUUUGUGAAGAAGUUGUUCGCAAGAUUCAAUGAUGUGACUGCCAGAUCUUCAUUAGCCUUGAGUGCUUGAGCCAAUGCAAAUGCUCCGUCAUCCUGUCAGAAAUAUAAAUGAAUUUGAGAAUACAAGAUUUCCAAAUGCCAAUAACUAAUAGGAUGAAACAGGAACACUAUGUUCACUUACUCUAAUCUCAUUAAAACCCAGGUCAAGAGAUGUCAAAGAUUCAUUGAUUAUCUUGAAACUUCGUGCUAAGCAUAUAGCACCCUUCAGGAAUUGGAAAGUGUCAGGAACCAAAGCAUGGACACUAAAGUGCAAGUUAUCAAGAAACACUAAACAAAGAUUGCUCAUACAUCAUCUCCAAGUCCAUUUGCCCGCAAAUCCAAUGUUGAUAACGUUGUGUUGUACUUGAGACAAUCAGCAAUACACUCUGCACCUUCCACACCUAUCUGCAGGUUAUGCAACUUUGGUGAGAGCACUUAAAUGCUGAAACUGCUCAUACAAUUCCAUUCAGUUCUGAGGAUCACCUGGCACCAGCCAAGCUUAAGGGUUUGGAUCUUUCCAUGGAACUUGAGGACAUCGCACAAAGCCUUUACCCCAUCUGAUCCAAUUGGAUUGUAGCUCAAAUCCAGCUACAAUGCAUUUUCUGAAUUAGUCUUAUAACUCAUUUUGUGGGCAAAUAUUGUCUGAAUGUUUAGAUGACUUACUGUUGUCAGCACCGCAUUAUCCUUCAAAGUUUCCGCUAUUACACUAACACCUUUGGAGUGAAUGUUAUUGCCACCCUGGAAAUACAAGAGGAUUCAGGGAUUCAGUAUGUACACAUAUCUUCUCUAAUGUGGUUUACCAGGGGAAUUUCAAAGAAGGUUUAUUGCCCCCCCCCCCCCCCCCCAAAUCCUCAGUUUAAGAGGUGAGAUAAUGAGAAAAGUUGUGCUAAUGACCCAAAAACUAUACUGAAUCAAUAAUUCCAAUAUCAUGUAGAGAAAAAACAUGUUUUACGCAUUGAGUAGAGAAGAGCAACUUCAGCAUAGUUCCCAUAUGUGGGAACUUAAGAAUAAACUGGAAGGUAUGUGAGAAUCUGACUUUCUGAGGGUUGCAGCCAAAUAAAUACUCACCAAGUCUAUGGUAGAAAUCGUUUUGUUAUCUUUCAGAGCCUCAGCAACCUUUUCAGCUCCCUGGUGACAUUCAUUUUAACAUACAUCAGGAUUCAUUAAAUGAAAUGCAUAAGAAUAAACAAACAUGCUUAUACACUGGAUACAGGGGGAAUCAAGUGAGGAAUCAUGAAUAUACUUAUUAUAAACAGAGAAUAUGUAAUCAUUAGCCAUGUGACUGAGAAAACAGACAUACUGGAGGAACCACAACCAGAAAUAGAGGACAGCUUCAAGGAAUAAUUCCAGACUUACCACCCAAAACAAAAUAGCAACAGGCAUUAACUUUCUGAAAAGGAUCCUAAAUAAUUUGUCUCAGGUUCCCAAGAUACAGGAAUAGCCUGGCAAAUAAUAGAGAGACUGAAAAUAACACCCAAAGCUUUAAGGUGCACUUCUAUGUGCUACAGAUCUAUACAACAACAGUAAAGCCUUUAAUCUGAAUUUCUUCUAUCAUAUAAAUCGCUAAAUGGUCAUUGGGUUAUGGUGAGUGAUUAUGUGGUUAAUUAAUUGGUUCUAGAACUGAUGGUAUGUUCAUAUGUAGACAAUCCGAUAUUUUAGCUAUUGUCAUCAUGCAAACAGAAAAUAAUUGAAGCAACAGCAUUACCUCAUCGCUAAUAUCAUUCAUGCAGAGACUGAACCACUGUAAGGACUUUGUCCUUUUGAGGAAGCUGGCAACAGGACGUAAACCUUCCGGGCUAAUGUUGUUGUUACCAAUAUCCACAAUUGUGAUCUUCCCUGUAAUUCAGCCAAGCAUGCACAUAAUUAGGAAUAAAUGUCCAAUAUGCAUAGGCUUCUUGAUAGUUUCUUUAGCCAGGAAAAAAAGGCACCUUUGUGAGCAGAUAAUGCAGACAUCAACUCACGUAUUCCCUCAUUCCCAAUCCCAUUACCAUGCAGGUGAAUUUCCUAGUGAAGGUUGAAUACUUACAUAUCAUAACCAUGAUAGGUAAAUUGAAUAUAAUAUAGAAAGUUAGAAAUAGAAAAAAAAAUCACCAGAAAGUAAUAAGCAAGAGAUUUUUUUUUCCUUUUUGUGUGUGUGUGUGGGGGGGGGGGGGUACAUGAUCUUGAAAAACAACUUCAAACACAUUACAUUCGGGUCUUAUAAAUUUUUAUUUCUUAAUAAGUUGUUCAAUUUGGUCAUAACUACCACACUAGUGCAAAUGAGCUCUACUGAUAAUCAUCCUACCAAUAUUGCCACAACAUGACUUAUAAAUUACCAACAUGUUUUUCAUCAUUUAAUAAAAAAAAACUCGACCUGCGGGGGUAAGACAGCCCCCGGGCAUUGCAUUAAGAAGAAGACCUUCUCAGGUCGAGAAAACCCCCGAACCCCUGCCCCACCCAUACACAGCGGCACCAUAGCCCAUGUGAGAACGACCACAACCGGGACUGGGCCUUAGACCUGUGCUUUGGCAUGGGACAGACGAGGGGAUUUUUUAACCUUAGCCUGAAAAUUCGCUCCCACGGGGAGUCAAACCCAGGGCCUAAGGAGUGCCGCCGGGUUCCUCAUACAAAUUUGAUGAUUAUUUUUUCGCUAUUAUGGUUCACUCCAUGCUUUACAGAUAUGUGUUCUGAAAUCCAACCAUACUGUGCCUGUUAGCAUAAAGUAGUGAGAGGGCAAAUUGAUUAUUGAUCCAUUCAAAAGUUGGACAUAUAGACAAACCUGAAAGUUUCAAAAUAUUAUUAACCCUUCAGAAAGCUAAAACAGAUACUUCUCCAUAAUUUGAUAUAUAUGCAAAGAUGGAAUGGAAUAUGGUUUGCUUUCAAACAUUUAAAAAUUUACAAAAAAAAAAAAACAUAAAACUAUGUGGAAGACUAGAGGUAUAUAAUCAAGUGUCUUGAUUAGUACCCUUAAUGACUUGUUCCCUAAAAUUCCUUGAGCUAGGCUGGAUGCACCAAGAGGACCACCAUAGUUGCCACUAGAGAAAUUGAAGAUAGCGCACCAGUAGUUAGUCAGUAAUCACACACAAUUAGUCAUCAUAGGCUGUGUUCACAAAAUCAUUUGCAUAUUCAGUAUAAAUCACAUUAAGGCUACCAAGCUGUGAGUGACUAACUUGAGAUACAAGCUCCGUAUCAAAUUAUUCUCUAAAAGGCCUUCUGCAAUACUUGCAAAACCCUGUUUCAAGGAAAAACAAAAGUAAAAGGUCUUGCAACCUUUCAAGGAUGUAAUCAUAAUAUGGUAAUUAUUUUUCCCCUAUGUAAUCAUAAUGUGGGGUUUGUGUUAUGUGUGUGUUGUAGGGCUCUCUAGCCCUCUUAUUUCUUCUUAAUAUAAUAAAGCGCAGCUCUCCUGCGUUUUCGAGAAAAAAAAAUUCAAGUGCAUGUCUUUGUCGAUGCUUAUACUUACACUGUAGUCAAUUGUAUUAUUGCUAAGCUGUAGAAAACGUAUUGAUUUAUUCUUUUUUAGCAUAUUUGAAAUUGCCUUGGCACCCUGAAAAGAAAACUGAAUGUUACAAUGAAAAAGUAGGUAAUGAGGGAGUGAGAGCAAACAAGAGGGAGAGCAAGCACCUCGUCCCCAAUAUUGAUACUGUUCAGAAGGAGUUUCUGAAUACCGAAAUUUUCAACCAAUAUAUCUGAAAGACACUGUAAGCAUUCAUGAGUGUUACAUUCAGUCAGAAGUGAAGGGAAAAUGUACUCAACUCAGUAUUGAAAACAUUUGCUGCUAUUUAUAUUUUUUGGACCAUCUCUGGUUUAAUUUGGCUACUUUCUCUAGUAAAACCAUAAACACUAAAAAUUUGAAUGACUAAUGAGGCAAAGACUCCAGUUAGAAACUAAAGAAAGUAACCAAAAUGCAACUCAGUGGUGCCUCACUGCUACCAGUGCCACAAUGAGACGCUACCCAACUGUGGAGAACAGUUAAAGAUAGGCAAGUACUAACAAAGUUAUCUCUACAUGUUUGUGAAGCCAACCACUCCAAAUUUUGAUUAAAGAUUUACCUUUAUGUGUUUUAGUUUGGAUAUUUGGAAAAUAAUAUGAAUUGUAUGACAAAAACAAGUUGUCAAAUAUUUUGGAUACCAUGUUGAUGUUGAAUAACUUAUUUAUUGCUGAAGGGAGUAUGAUUUCCAUUAAAAAAACAUGCAAAUUACAAAAUGAUAUGUGGAAUGUAGAGAUGAGAAAAUUGAGAAGACCUUAGCUCCUUCAUCCCCAAUGUCAUUUCCAGAUAAAUUGAGAGUUUUCAAAGUUGUGUUUAUCUGAAGAAUUCCAUCAAAGGCUUCUAUUCCCACAGCUGUUAUCCCAUUGCCAGAAAAGUCCACCUCUUCUGCACUCUGAAAAUGCACAUGAACAAACAUUCAUUUUCCAAAAUACUCAAAUGAGAUUAAGCUGCUACGGUAUAGAAACAGCUAGGUGUGCAAAUACACAUAUAGAAUACUAGGUAAAUUCCCCGCGCGUUGCUGCGGGAUUUUCUUAAAAAUAAAUCAUUAUAUACAAUUAUACAUAGCAUUACUAUAUAGCAUUCAAUCUAUUAUGUAUGUAUACAUAAUAUUUUGACUUGCAUGUAUUUUAUUGUAUUAGAUCUAGUAAAAAAUUGCUAAGCUAAUAGAACAAAAACUAAUAUUUGGUUACAUUAUAGAGGAAUUAAUUGAUGAUGAAACAAAUAAUGUAUGUACAUGACUUGUAUGUUAAUAGAUUAAAGAUUUUAAGUAUUUCACAUGAUAUAGAUGACAUGGUCAUUUUUUAUAAUUAACAUUGGAUGACAUGGACUUAGUGGAAAAUGAUGUGGACACUUUGCAUGAAGAGAUAGAAUAUUUAGUGGGUCACUUAGUGGGGAAUGAUGAGGACACAUUGCAUGAAGAGAGAAUUCAUCUAGUGGGGUUUAGCUUUAUAAGAGUUAUAGAUAAGGUGGAGUCAAAUAAUGCUUGAGAUCUCAGACCUUGUUAUAGGCUAAGCUUUCUGCUAGAAAAAACAGGCCCUCAUCUCCAAACUGACGACCUGUCAAGCAAUUGAGAGUUUGAGACAUAGUUAUCACUCCAUAAAUGCUGGAGCUUUAGCCCAACAUUUCCAGCCAAUGUAUUCAAACUUUAGUUCCCUUGAGUUACCUGCCAUGUUAACAGUUUUCGAAGUCCGAAUUUCUUUGUAGAACUUGUUAAGAUUUUUCCGCGACUCCUUUUCAGCACUGAGGGUAGGUGUUGACAAAUUUGAACCAGCAGCAAAGGACCACAUGAUCCCAGAAGGCGCAGAUUCUCCAGAAUUCUGGUCCUUUUUCUUCCCUGGAAUCAUAUUCUGAACCACCUUCCAUAUGACUGUCCUCUGAAACAGAGAAUUAGUAGCCAUUCCACACACCAUAUGACUGUCCUCAAAAGCUUUAAAUGUAUCAGAUAAUGAACACAAACAUAUGUUAUAUGAUCCAUUAUGUGCAAAAUCAUGAAGUCACAUCGUGAAGUAUGCUUUGUAUUUUUUCCCCUUUUUGCAAAAGUAUAAGUUGAUCCCUUUUUUUCCAAAAUGGAGUACACUAAAUACAGAACUGAUCUAUAGGCAAUACUAAUACUUUUCGAUCCAUUUUACGCCACACAGAUCACAUUUAUUUUUCACAGGAUGGAAACUAUUCCGGUAUAUCGUCAACACCAAGGGAUGUGAGCAAUUAUGACCCAAUGAUUUAGUAAGAGACUUGUGGCGGGGCAUCGCAUGUCGUAACAGCAAACAGCUUGGUACAUAAGGACGAGACAAAGGCCAUACCAAAGCUCAGCAUGAGUACUGCCCCGACCGGCACGGCGUAGGGCGCGACUUUUCUCGCAGCCGCCGCCAAGGGUGGCACGGCGGCUUCGCCCUGCGCCUCGCGGUAGGACCUCCGGGGAGCACCCCCGCGGCCGGUCCCGGGAGGCCUGUCCUGGAUGCGGAAGCCGUCGCCGAACGACACGCUCGCGGCGCGCGGCACCGCCAGGCCCACCCGGCGGCUCCCGUGUGCGAGCGGUGGCAGGGGCGGCGGCGAAGGCUUCCCGCGAAACGACGCGUGGCGACGGCGACCGGUGUGGAAGCGGAGCGGGUGGAAGGGCUUGAGGGGGCGCGGGGAGGAGAGGAGGAGCGAGGACUCCAUUGGACGCGGCGGCUGGGGGCCGGAGGAGGAAGAUGGGGGAGGAUGAGGGAGGGAGACCGGAGGCGGGCGCCGGGCGGGGGCUUUGGGAGGGGGAGCUUUUGAUGCGGGGAGAGGUAAGGUUGUAUGGAUCAUGUCGGACCGGGUUUGGACUUUACCGAUGUCCCCCUCCCACACCUGCACGUGGUUAGGCCUUGUUUAGUUCUCCCCGUAAGGCUAGUCUCCGUGCAUAAUUUUAUAACAUAGUUACCAAUAACCGAGCCAUAUAAGUUUUAUAGAAUAAAACUCCUCUCUCAUCUAAUGAAACUCCUUCAUUUAAUGACUCUGUCAAGUCAGCAUUUUUGCUUAUGUGGCACUCUAUUUAAUGUGCAUGACACUCUUAUGAAACAUGCAUUGAGACUGGCCUAAGGCCUUGUUUGGAUGUUGUCGGAUUCACCUCAAUCCACAUGUGUUGGAGUAGAUUAGGGUGAAAUUUAGUUAAAGUUACAUUCCAACCCACACCAACACAUGUGGAUUGAUGUGAAUCCGACUACAUCCAAACAAAGCCUACAAAUUUUUCAUCCAUCACAUUAAAUCUUUAAACAGAUACAGAAAACAUUAAAUAUAUAAAAAAAACUAAUUACAUAGUUUGGUUGUAAAUCGUGAAACGAAUCUUUUAAGCCUAAUUAGCUCAUAAUUAACUAUAACUGCUAUAGUAACCCAUAUGUGCUAACGACGGUUAAUUAGGCUUAAUAAAUAUAUCUCGUAGUUUCCAGACGAGCUAUGUAAUUUGUUUUUAUUAGUAUCCAAAUAUUUCUUUCAAUAUCUUAUGAAACAUCCGAUGUGACACCCAAAAACUGUAUACUCCACAACUAAACAAGACCUUAUUCUAUACUGGCCUAGUCGUACAACAAUUUUAGAGUUGGUUUUAAUGCAUGAUUAGUACGAAUAUUUUUCGACCAUAUUCGAGAUCAAAUUCGUUUAGAGAAGUUUAGAUCUAUCUGUAUCUAAGUCUGAAUAUUCAACAUUUUAUACUAUUGUCUUGUUUAGUUCCCACCAAAAACCAAAAACUUUUUAAAAUUCUCUAUCACAUCGAAUCUUACGGCACAUGCAUGGAGCAUUAAAUAUAGAUAAAAAUAAAAACUAAUUGCACAGUUUGCAUGUAAAUCGCGAGACGACUCUUUUAAACCUAGUUAUUCCAUGAUUGGACAAUGUUUGUCCAAUAAAAAUGAAAGUGCUACAGUGAAAUUCAAAAAAAAUCGCAACUAAACAAAGUCUAUAUUCACAUCCAAAUAUUUAAAUACUAUAUUUAUGAUAUAAUCGAAUUUUAUACGAUAGAGUUAAAAUUAACAAAUAUGAUAUUAAUGAUAUACAUUCAUAUCUGAUCCGUUUUUAUCUCCAGUGAUGAGUGAAACAUUUUGCGAUUGAAACAUUGUCCUCGCCACACGUAUCUCACGGCAUGUUUAGAUAAGGUAAGACUAGUUACGUAGUUGAGCUAAAAAAUAGUUCAAAUUAGUUAAAAGUUGACUAGCUAUAACAACUAGUUGAAUACUUAUCUAAAACAAUAGCUCACAAAUUAGUUUUUUUUGUUUGAAUACAUUAGAGCUAAUUUCUAGUAAUUAGCUAUUGAUUAGUCCUUAUAUCAAAUAGGCUCUAAGAGUUAUAUAUGACUUUUAGAUAUCAUCUUAUUGUGUUCGUGUACUUCCUUCAGCCUUUUAAAAUAUCGUUUUUACCUAUCGAAAAGUUUGUUGAACUUUAUAUACAAGAUAUUACUAAUAUUUAUAAUAUAUAAUAAAUAUCACUAGGGCCUUGUUUAGUUCUAAAAAAAUUAUAAAAUAGACACUAUAGCGUUUUUGUUUGUAUUUGACAAAUAUUGUCCAAUCAUGGACUAACUAGGCUUAAAAGUUUUAUCUCACAAAUUACAAGUAAAUUGUGUAAUUAGUUAUUAUUUUUAUAUAUAUUUAAUACUUCAUGCAUGCGCUGCAAAAUUUGAUGUAACGAGAAAUCUGAUUUUUUUUUAAAAAACUAAACAAGACCUAGAUUUGGGUAACCAAAUUGAGUUUCCAAAAUAAUCUCCCAAUCAUAGGUGACGUUGUGGCAUACCAUCUACAGUACCUCAUGCAUGUUGUAUUCGUUCAAUGAUCCAUGUGUCCCAGAUGAAGGAGUACAUCCCUUCUUUAGUGCAGGUGGAAGAUGAGAUAUCACUUUGGUUUCAGAUGAUCCUUUCAUGAUUGUCUAGAGAAGUGGCUUUUUCAUUGUCAUAAAUUUAGAUAUAGUAGUUUGGUUAUUCACCAUUUUUGACAACGUGGGAGGAAGCUCAUGAUUUCUGGUGGUGAUUUCCAUCUAGUGCUACUUGGGACAAGCGGCUUUAUGAGGAAGGGGCAAUGUCCAGGCCAUGAAGGAGAAGGCAAGAAAGAUCAGGAGUAUUGUUGCACGUUUGGCAACAGAGCAAACGAUGUCUAUCAAGGUGGGAGUAACAGUGACAGCUAAGUCGUAAAUAGUUUGAGUUGGGCGGUGAGUUAACUAUGGUUAGUAAGGAUUAGGUUGGUAUAUAACACCUGAGGUUGUUGUACCCUGUAGUGAAGAGCUGAAACUCUAAAACCUUAAAAAUUUUGUCUCUGUUCUUCGUCCUCAAUCCUACUUCUCUAACUAAAUCUUUAAUUUCUGAAGCUAUAUGUCCAAUUCCUAGCGGAACUGUGCUAAAAAGCCUAAUGGAUGUCAGUCCACGUUUAAAAUUAGAUGACUUCUAUAGUGGAGUAAGAAAUUUAAUUACAAAUACAUGGAGAUCAAUAGAAGGUAACGGAGGUUCACGUGGCUUCAUGAAAUUACAGAUAAAUAUGUUAGUGUAGGUAUAGAUAUAGAUAGAUUCACAUUAUGUGCUGAUUUGUCAAAAAAUGUUAGAAAAAAGAAAUAUAAAAAAGGAUGGUACGGGAUUUUAUUUAGGAGACUUUUAUAUAUAUGUCAUUAUAAAAGUUGGUUAUUACCUAUAAGCUAUUAAAAAGCUAAGUUUUCACAGAUGUCACUGCUCUGAACUCUUUUAUCCUCUAUGCCACUUCGUCAGAUUUGACUCUAACACUGCGAGUAUGAAAAGUAAAAAAUACACUCAUGUCUAAAUAUCUAAUUAUUUUUUUGAGCAUCUUAACGAUCUCAAAUGAAAAAACUCAAAACUAGAAUGUCAUAUCUUUUUUUAUGGAAUUCAAUGAAGAUAAUUUUUAUACAAAACUUACAGAUAUUAUCGAGAUCUAUAACUUUGUAGUUCUGAGUUUUUUCAUUUGAGGUCACUAAGAUGCUCCAAAAAAAUUACAUAUUCAGCCUUAAAGAUAUUUUUGACUUUUCACACUCGCGGUUUGACACUGUUAGAGCCAAAUCUGACAGAAAUGGCAUGAAAGACAAAAGAGUUUAGAGCAGUAAUAACUAUGGGAGCUCAACUUUUAAAUGUAAAAGCCUCUUUAUUUAGGGCGUCGUAUCGUAUGCAAACCAAGGUUGUUGUGCAACCUUGGAAACUACCGAUCUGGACCAACGAUCUGAGAUCUAGUGGCUGCAGAGAGAGGUGCGAUCAAUUUGUGAAUUAACGCUCACAUUAGCCUUAGGCCAGUCUCAAUGCAUAGUUUCAUGGCACAGUUACCAAGAUUAUAAACUAGGUAACCGAGCCACAAGAGUUUCAUGGGGAUGAAACUCCUCUCUCAUCUGAUGAAACUCUUUCAUUUAAUGACUCUGCCAAGUUAGCAAUUUUGCUUAUGUGACACCCUAUUUAAUGUGCAUGACACUCCCAUGAAACAUGCAUUGAGACUGGCCUUAGUAAUCCUUGAUUUUUUUUCAAAUUACUCUCUCCCCAAAUCCCCAAUCUGCUCGCCCGCGUAUCCAGUCCAAAAGUCACGUAUCCAGUCUAGGGUCGCGGGAAUUGUUUUCAACGACGACGAUGCCGCCGCCCGCCCGGCAGCUAGAGAUGGCGGAAGCUCGGCUGCCCGACUCAUCUGCUGGAACGACGUCUGGGCUCACCAUCGCGUGCAGCCCACAAUCGCUGGCCAGAUGGUACCCACAAUCGCCAGCCAGAUGGCGUGCAUUUGCUCUUCAUUCUGUUAAGACAUAGAAACAAUGUUGUUGGUUAAGACAUUCUGAUUGGAUUUCUAUGGGCCAUCUGUGUUGGCACUUGCUGGAGCCACUAGUGCAGCAUUGUUGGGCGCCAGUUGAGUCCACAUGUUGUUGGUUAUUGAAUAUUUUUGUUAACAUUGCCAUCUGAACUUUCUUAGCACAAGCUAAAACUAUGCACUUUGAGAUCACCAUAGACAUGAUUUCAGUUCAUUAUAUUGCAAAUUUAUCCACACAGUACACAUAUACACAGAAUUGCCAUUGGCCUUACACUGUCUGUACUCUCAAUAUUUUUCAAUCUUCAGACAAUACAAGAUAUUACACACAGGGCACACAAAAAGGCACAAUUGCUAUUGGCAUUACAUAGCAGUAGCACCCAACACACAGAACAUACAAACUCUGAAGCCGAGAAACAUCUCUGAAGCUAGCUGCAUCAAACAACUCUGAAGCACACAGAUCACAAACUAGCUACAUCUGAAAACAAGAAACAUCUAUGAAAAACAACUUUGAGCAUGGUGGCCGUGAUGUAGUGCUUCUCCUAUAUGCGGGCGUUGCUAGGUGGGCCUGACUCCUGACCGGCGUAGCAGACGUGGUGGAAAAGAGCGCAAGGGGUCGGCUCCUCCUCCGGUGACGCUCCUCCUGCACGGCGGCUCCUCCGGCUGGGCGGUCGGGCGGCAUGAGCUACUCCUCUGGCGGCGCGACUACUCCUCUAGGGGCGCUCCUCCUGCAGGCUCCUCCGGCGACCGACGAAUGAGUCAUAGGGUCGCGAGGACGACUUCUGGGGGCGCGUCUUCUAGGUCGUGAGGACUGGACGUGAGAGCAGAUUUGGCGAGGGGGUAAUUUGGAAAAAAUCAAGGAUUACUAAGGCUAAUGCGGGCGUUAGUUUGCAAAUUGAUCGCACCUCUCUCUGUAGCCACUAGAUCUCAGAUCAUUGGUCCAGAUCGGUAGUUUCGGUGUUUGACAUUGCUCCACAAAUUCUGCU